CUCAGGUCCUGCUGGGCUUGGGUAGUACGUCCCGCGCGCGCGUGCACGCGCGCACGCACACACACACACACACACACACACACACAAACACACACACACGCGCGCACGCACACAGCCCUUGGCAUCGCCGCCUGCCCGGCCCCCGCCCUUAGGGACCAACGCGGGGACCGCUGCGCCCGCGCCGCCAGCCCGAGGAGUCGCACAGUGUCCCCGCGUGCGCCCCGCCGACCACACGCCAUCUGCGCUGGGCCGGCGGGCAGCCUCUUCCUCCAGGCUCCCGGCUUUUUGUUUAAAGCUGCACUCGCUCGGCUUCCCCCUCCUUCGUUGGCGGCGCUGUAAGACUUGAUUGCUGUCGGGAUCCGCUGGGCUGCGGACGGGGUCAGGCAGAGUCGAGCAGGAGAAACCAAAGACCGGGAAAACCAUUUUUUGUUUCUUCAAAAAGCCGUCUCCACCCAGUCGUGAGCCAGGCUGGUGUCUACUUUAAUCCUCACCAGGACAAUGGAUUAAGUUACUCUUCCCUGGAUCGGAAGUCGGGUUCAGACUCGGGGCAACAUGAAGGAAAAGGCGAUGAUAAAGACGGCUAAAAUGCAGGGGAACGUCAUGGAUGGAGAAAAGACACAGGAGAACAAGACAGGUUAAUGCUAACCUAGCUGGAAGUCCUGAUGAAUCUCAAGAGUCUUCCCCUGCUUCUGCUGGCUGGUGAACAUCUGAAUCAGAGACUGGAUGGAGAAACAGGAUAUUGUUGGAGGGAGUAUUCAUCAUCGUUGGCACCACUGUGCUGGAUACAGAGGAGUGCGUCAUGUGCCCUGUUUGUACUUUACACAUGUUGUAGAAUCUUCACACUCACCACCAGAGCAGUGUCAUUGUCGUUGUUAUUUUUUUUUUUUUUGCUACCUGGGAUCCAACUCAGGACUUGCGCUUGUGAGGCAGGCAGCAGAACCACUGAACUACAUCCCUGGCCCUGUCAUUAUUAUUUUAGAGCCAAGAAUAUGAAAGAGAUGUUGAGUCACUUGGGAAAAGUCGCAUGACUGGGAAGUACAUGUGCAGGGAUUUGAACCCAGGAAAUACAAUUUCAGGGCCUAUAUUUUAGCCAAUAUGGAUCGAAAAUAUAGCUAUUCAGUUUGAGGACAACAUGAGACUGAAGAUGUCAAAUACCUGGCCCUUCAUUCCCUCUUCUCAGUAGUAACCCUUUGCAUCAGGUAAAUACAGCAGGUAGAAAUACAAUGCUGCCCUUGGGUGCCCAAUCAGACCUGAGAAGUAUCAGAAGGAAAAAAUGUUGUCUAAGAGUGAUGUUACCAGCUGGGCAUGGUGGUGCACACCUGUAAUCCCAGCACUCUGGGAGGCUGAGGCAGGAGGAUUACAAAUUUGAGCCCAGCAUGGACAACUUGGUGACUUAGUAAGGCACUGUCUCAGAAAUACAAAAGAAAAAGGGGAUGUAGCCUAGUAGAAAGGCCCUGGGUUCAAUCCCCAGUAUCCCCCCCAAUAAAUAAAUAAAAGUAAUGUUAGCAAGCUGAGGGCAGACCCCAUGCAACUUGCUAUAGGAACACAGAAGGUCCAGCUGUGUCAUCAGAGAAGCAGAUCUUGGUCGCAGGGUGUUCUACCCCACCCGUGGGCGCUCAGGGCAGGUCACUUUUCGGGAGGCAAUUUGCCCAGCCUCUUUUGCCCCAGCAACACCUGCAGCUCUAGCCAAGGGCUUUGCAGAGUGUGGGGUACAUUUAUGUGCUGGGGUCUGGUGCCUGAUUUUGCUUUAAACUCCCAGUGUCUGGCAUAGGGGACAGCAGACGCUGCAGCUUGGCUCAACUUGCCUGGCCCCUUCCUGACAGCCUGUGGCCAUCCUCCCUGCAGUGCUAGCUGCUAUCCUAAGGAGCGUGGAGAGAGGCCCCUGUCCUGCAGGGCCUCAGCUCAGCCCAUGUGUGCAUGGACACAAAAAGCUUCAGAAACUGUUGGCCCAGCGCUUGGCACAGUGUGCUCUGCAUGCAGGCACAUGCCCCCACCUGCAGUGAUGAUAUUUACCUGCUUGGCUGGAGAGCCGUUCAGAGGCCUGGGGAGUUCACCUGCUGCAGGGAGUUCAGAGAUGCGCUAAUGAAAGGCGGGGAGGCAAAAAUUAAUUAGAGUAUAUUUCAAAGGUGGGCUGAGAACUUGGCCUCUCCUCCAUUCUAUUCUUGGGCUGCUCCAGUGCUGAUGGUCACCUAGUAGGAGGAGGGAAGCACCAACAAGCUAUGCCUCUUCUUUUCCUGUGGUAUAAACAGCAGGGUAGAUGUGGGCUUCUGACUGGUUGUCAUGGCCCUUUUUUCCUUUGGUGGCACCUUGCUGGUCAUUAAUGGGUCUUAGAUGAACCUGAGUGUUGCGUGCUCACCAUGGGGCUGAGUCACACAUGCUCAGCAAGUGUGUACUCCCUCUAGUGUCAGGUUUUGGGGCGACCCAAGUUGCUGCUACUUCCACAGCAGCACCCUAAGGAGAAGGAUGUGAUGUAUGGAGACAGUGCACAGUUACGGGCAAAUGUCACCACACUGCUCACUUUCAUCCUAGGUAAUUCCCACCUUGAAAGAAUGGCAUGGAACUCAUUUUAGGGGGUGGGCAAUCUGACUAUGAUGAGGUUUGUCCCACUCCCAUUACCAAGCCUGCUUCUGGACAUGAUAGCUAAGCAAUAUGAUGCUUAUUCCUUUGCUUUCACGUGUGUGUGCUUGUGUGUGCACAGUUGUGUGUACCAUUCCCUUACACACCACCAACGUGGUGACUGUGUGUGCUCGGGAAGCUCCCUGGCACUGGAUGAGGAUGAGUCACCCAAGUGCCCAGCCAGAGGGCAUUGGAGGCAGUCGCAUGACAGAGGCUGGACCACUGGGAUCCACUGUCGUGCUGUGGGUGUGCAUCUGUCUCCAGAGGUAGAUACGUGUGGGCAGGGAAUUGUCAGACAUAUUUACUUAUUUAUCUUUGGUUCCUCUUGGUCUCUUUGACUCACUUUUCCUAAGAGUGAGCAUUAAAUGUGUGAAGUAAAGGUGAUUAUGUGUACAAUUGUAUUUUAAACUCCUCAUAACUUUUAAGUGUAUUAGAAGUAUAUCAGCACAUUCUCUUAAUAACUUAUUAAUAAAUUACACAUAGGCUGAGUCCCUUCUUGGUUUUUUUGGUUCAGGGGAUUGAACUCGGGUCCUUGCACUUGCGAGGCAGGCGGCGGAACCACUGAGCUAAAUCCCGGCCCCAGGCUGAGUUCCUUCUUACCAAUCCCAUGCCCUUUGUCCCGUACCUUUGGCCCUCAUUUCUCUGAUCUAUAAAUCACAGUCUGUGUGUGAAGUGUGUACAGUUAUGUGUGUACAUAUGUACACCCACACGUGUCCAUAUAUACCAUGCACAGAAGUGUACAUUUGUGUAUCUAGGAAUAUUUAUCCAUAUAGAUAGAAUUAUGUACAUACAGAGUCCACCUCAAAAAUGUAUGCACACUUCAGGAAAAGAAAAAUAGUAGGUUGUUUACUCAACAGAUGGUGUGACCCUGUAGAGGGGACCCUAGAGGAUGCCGUACGUAUAUCACCGAAACCCACUACACUGCCGGCCCUUAGACAAGAAAUGGAAAUGCAUGAGGAGCAAUCUCAGUGACCAUGUUUACCCAAGCAGCGGUUGGUGGUGCUAGUAAAUGUCUGGAAGCCAAUGGCCACCACUCUGAGAACAUCUUGUAAUUGUAGAAGCCAAAGGUAACUUGUAUUAAUCUCAUGAUGUCUCAAUGAAUGUAGUAUUAAAUCAUUUAUGUAAGUUUUUCUUUUCCUGUAGUCCAUAUACACUUUGGGAUGGACUCCUUAUUAUCUUUUUCAUGAAUAAUGUGUUGAAGUAUUUUUCUCAAUUUUCCAUUAAGCAAAACGACUUGGUAGUGUCCAUUAUUGACUUGGGUUUGAGUGGACACACACAUCCCCCAUCCUUUGAAACUGCUGCAUACUGUUCUAUAGCAUGGGACUCCUGCAGCCCAUAAAGCCGUGUCCCUGUGACAGACAUGCAAGUGACUAUUGAGUUUUGCUUUGAUACCAAUCCUGCAGUGACCAUCUGGAUAUAUUCCUCUUUGGACAUAUAUGUUGACCUUUCUCUGGCACUACUGAGAAAUGGAAUGGCUGGGAUAUCUUACAUAAAUUUAAUAAAUACAUUUAUUUUAAAAAGGAAUUAAGAUAUGUUAUAUACAUGUGCCACCUCCACACAAGGAUUGUAAACAUUAUGUACAACACACAUGUACUAAUAAAUUAAACUAAACUAAACUAACCUAGAGAAACAUGUACUGCAAACAUGUACUACUGAAAAUUUUAAUACAUUUAAAAAUUUGAAAUUGAAACUGAAAAUGACAAUCAUAUUUAAAAGCGUUGUUCCUAAUUUAUAAUGCCACCAAUAGUAUAUUAAAAUAUACAUUUGAUCCUCAUCUUUUCUGAUAGGAUUCUUUUUUCAGCACUAGGGUUUGAAUCCAGGGCUUUUACACUGAGCUAUAUCCCCAAGCCUUUUAAAUUUUUUAAAAAAAUUUUGAGACAGGUUUGCCUGGGUAGGGCUCAAACUUGUGAUCUUCCUGCCUCAGCCUCCUAGAGUGCUGGGAUUAUAGGUGUGUGGCACCAUGUCUGGUUUGAUAGUCUUUUUUUUUUUGUACCAGGGAUUGAACUCAGGUCCUUGAGCGUGGGCAGCAGGCGGCCCAAGCACUGAGCUAAAUCCCUGGCCUUUGAUAGUCUUUUUUAAAGCACUUAGUAUGUUGACUUAGACUCUGUGAAGAUAUAUCAACCUUUCCAGUGCUCACUCCAACAUUUUUUCAUGAGUUGGCCUACAGGCUGAAUAUCCCUUAUGUGAAAUGCUUGUGAGCAGAAGGGUUUUGGAUUUUAGAAUAUUUGCACAUAUGUAACGAGACGUCCUGGAAACGUGAGCCACGUCUAAACAUGAAAUUCAUUUAUGUCUCACAUAUACAUGAUACAAAUAACCUGCAGGUAAUCAGUCUUACAUAAUAUUCUUAAUAAUUUUGUGUCUGAAGCCAAGUUCCACAGUGCAGAAUUGUCCACUUCUGACAUCAAAUCUGCACUCAAAAUAUUUCAGACUGGAGCAUUUUGUAUUUCAAAUUUUUGGAUUAAGGUAUGCUCUCUAAAGUACAUAAGGGCUAAGAAUGUAGACCAAUGAAACUGAUGUUUUUCUACUAAAAUUACUAUAAACAGCUAUCAGUGGGAACACUGGUGCCUUUAGUACAUACCAUGGUGCAUCUUUUGGGUAAGCAAUUUUGCAUGUCUCUGUGGGAAUCCUGUAACAAGUCUUUUAAGUAUCCUUAGAAAUUGGUGGCAGAAGUUCAUCCCUUGAAGAUAGUUUUUCCUUCAGUUAAAUUUUUUUUAUUAAUAGAUGUUUACAGUAACAAUGUUUAUAUUUAUUGUAGGGAGUUGUACAUAACACAUCUUAAUUCUUUUUUUAAUCCUCCCCCAUCCCCCUACCCCUGGUUCCUUUCUAACUCUUGGUUCUCUUCCCGUUUGAAAGACAUCUCCCUACUUCCAGUUAUCUAUCUUUUAUUUUUCUAUUUAUAAUUUGUGUUUCUCCUAUAAGAGAAACUAUAUGAUAUUUAAGCUAGUGUGUCUGAUUUAUUUCACUUAUUAUGGUCUCAAAGUCCAUCCAUUUACCUACAACUAUAACUCAAGUCUAUCCUUCAUCAUGGCAGAAUAGUACUCCAUUGUGUGUAAAUACUACAUGUGCUUUAUGAUUUAACUGUUAGGGCAUAUAGGCUGCUUCCAACAUUUAGCUGUUAUGAGUUGUGCUGCUAUAAACAUGACUAUGCUUGUGUCACUGUAAUGUGAUGUCUUUAACUUUUUCUGGAAGAUACUAGAAGGGGACUAGCUGGGUCAAACAGGAUUUCUAGUUUUGAGUUUUUGAGGAAUCUCCAUACUGAUUUCCACAGUGGUUUUACUAGUUUACAUUCCCACCAGCAAUGGAGGAUUCCUUUUUUCCUGCAGCCUCCCCAGCAUUGGUUAUUGGUUGAUUUCUUGGUGAUAGCCAUUCUUCCAGGAGUGAGAUGGAAUCACAGCGGUUUCAAUUUGCAUUUCCCUAAUGGCCAGCAAUGCUGAACAUUUUUUCAUGUAUUUAUUGUCCACUCAUACUUCUUCUUUUGAAAAGUGUCUAUUUAUUUAGGUUGCCCAUUUUUGCCUGGGGGUGGAGGUUGAAUUAUUUUGAGUUCUUUAUAUAUUCUAGACAUUAUUCCUCUGUUUUAGGAAUAGCUGGCAGGGUUUUUUCCUUCCCAAUCAGUGGGUUGUCGCUUCACUCUGUUGGUUGUUUUCUUUGCUGUGCAGAAGCUUUUUGAUUUGAUGUGAUCCUAUUUGUUGAUUCUCAGUAACAUUUCUUGUGCCAUUAGGGUUUUGUUUAGAAAGUCCUUGCCUCCAUCUUCAAGAGUUUUAUAAGAUAUUAAGAGCUGUCGGAGCCUAAUCUAGCAAAUGGGGGGUAUAACCAAACUCCCAUCCCUCAGACAGCUGGUAUCACACAGUUGUAAGGUUAACUUUAUUACACACACAUCAUCUCUCAAUUUGAAGGCAUAGUUUAGCUUGUAAAAAACAAACUGGCCACAUCCUUUAUAGUGACACCCCACUCGACUCAGGGAAAAAUUCCUGUAAGAUAAGCUGCAGGAAUUUGCUCUUCUCAUGAUUGUGGAGAUCAGUAAUGGCAGAUAAGUGAAGGAAAGUCACAAUUGAAGAGCAUGGGCAAGUUGAACUUCAUUGUGUCACCAAAAAUAAAUGCAGCGUUUUCUUCCCUGAGCUUAAGAAUCACUGGCUAGACCACAGCCUGCCUCAGCAACCUGAGUGUUUACGUGUAGAGAAAAGUGUAUGUGUGUGUGUUCUCUUUCGGUGCUGCAUGGAGAACUUGCAGUUUAUUACCUGCCUGCUGAGUCCCUGGGUGGUCUGAGAGUGCAUCCUCACUGUGACCAUCAGCACCCUUUACUCUGAUCUCCCUCAGGAAGAAGCCCUGCAUCCCACAGAUGGCUCUGGUCCUUAGCCUCCUCCUUGGGCGUGGCAGGGAUGCUAAUGCCAGAGCUGGAAAAUCCUGCUGGCUUUGAGCUUCCAUAGACACUAUCAUUCCUAACACUUCCUUUCAGAACUAUUAGUCUAUGAAAAUUGCUGGGAGCUAUUUUUAAGGAGUCUCAGAAUAAAAAGAUUAUCCAGGAAGGUGAGAGAAGCGAUAUCCCACUGCUGCUAAGAACAAUGCUGUUUAGCCUUUAUCCAGGUCUCUGUCCUCCCAGUUCAAAGAAGAACUCAACUAAGCAGGCUGAGUCUGACAGGAAUCCAAACGCUGGGAGCUCAGACCUCAGUGCAGCUCCUUAUGGGCUUGUGAGGGGCUUGGAGAUGAUGAAUUUCCUUUGUCCUCUCCUUCUGCCUGCAGGGGCUGGUCCUGCAUGUAGGCAGAGCAGGCUGAGUCUGGGUGGGUGCAGGGUGGGUAGACAAUGCUCACUUCCAAAGGUCCCUGUGACCUGCUAGUGCACAGAUAUGACCAUCAGGGUCAGAUCUGUGGCUGAUCAAUGGAUUUCUGAGCAUGGACCAUGUGGAAGAGAGGUGCAGGGCUGGGAGCUACAGAAUCCUUGGGGCACCAGAUCUCUGAGGAAGGCUGAGUCCUGAAUACUGGAAGCACUGAAGGGUGGGGCCAGUGUCUUCAGAGCACUCAAUUUUAAAAGAAUGAAAUAGAUGUCUUAGGUCUCCCAAAGAAAGGAGGUGGAGGGAGCCGGGAUGCACAGGUAAUAAAUAUCUUCCACAUUACAAUAGUUUUGAAGCUGGCCCUGUGAAAUAGCUUUUCUUUUUAAUCCAGUGGCCUCAUUUAAAUCUUUAGCCUAUUUGAUAUUUUCUGCAGAAUCUGUUGCUAAUGACCACCUUCUUUUUGAAGUUUACUUUUCCCUUUGUUCCCAUGAUAAAAAAACUCUCUUGCCUCCUCUGUGAACUUUUAUUUAGAGUUCCUUUCUUUUGCCUUUCUCUCCCUGUGCCCAGAGAUUGCAUAUUAGUGUUUCUAGCCUUCCUGUCUUCACUCAUGCUUGUUACCUAGUGUCCUGUGGUCACCAUGUGAUUUUCUCUAUUCCUUUGGUUUCAUCUACUGCCACCAUUAUGCGACAUAUUGAGUCUGAGCCCCUUUUUGAGCUUGAUUUUUACCUUGCAGCCUCACAGCAAACCUUACUAAAUGGAAACACCCCAGAGACCUUGUGCUCAACCUGUCCGGAAGUAACACACCCUGUGCCCCUCCAAACUGUUUCUGCUUCCUGUGGUCCUGGUUUGGUCAAUAGUACUACCAUAUACCCCAAUGGAAGCCUUAGAAUCGCCGUCAAAUAUUGUUUCCCAGCAAACUGUUUCCACAGCCCUCAGUGAACAUUCUGCCUUUUAAUGAUGUAAGAUAAGCAACAACUUAUUGACAUAGCAUGAACUUUCUUGCUUCCCUGUUGGUUUUCCCUGUUGCUUCAUGUUGGCCUUCCUGGGUGAUCUUCCUUCAUAUGUCCAUGCACUCCUACCCAUCCUUUAAGGCCCAACUCAACUGUGCCUUUGAUUUGGGGGCCUGAAGGAACUCCUCCUUCGUGUGCAUUGUCCAAGGUGCUUGUACGAUUUUUGAUCACUCUUAUUAAAGGGCACUGAGCUGGAAAAUAACUUCACAACUUUGUCAUCAUAAGGACUGUACUUCCUUGAGUGGUGGGAAAUGAGAGCCAGAGGGAGGCAGUGUAACCAGAAGAAGAGAGCAGAAAAGGGAGGUGAGAAGAUGGAGCAAUAAGUGCUUGCGAACAGGGGGUUCACUGCCCCUCCAUGUUUGGAGUGGCUUCUGCACGCUGGGUACAAGGGGUGGACAUGCCUGUGUUAGAAUAAAAAUACUCAAAACAGGAAGUCUCAUUGCUGACAUACUUUAACUACAUUAUGUAUUUAAUAUGCGGCCGAGACGGCUCCUCUUCACACUUAGUGUGGCCCAGGCAGUCACAUAUGUUCUCCCACAGGCCCCAGAUGGGCACAUCCAGUGGCAUCACCUCCUUAGGUGGUUGGGAACAAGAGCAAGAAGCACUGGCUGCAAGCCUGGGGAAGGUGCUGGCUCCCGCUGGUCUCAGUGUCCCUUGGUACAGCCUGGAAAGCUCCCCUGUCACAAGGCUACUCUUGCGACAUGGUGCCCAGUUGUGUGUGCCAGGUUGUGGAUGAGAUGAGAGCAUGAGGGGAGGCUGGGUGGGCUCUUGGCAGACACUCUUGCCCAGGCUGUUAGAUGGUCAUGAUGUCUUCUGGACACUGCGCUGUCACUGGCAUCUCUGAAAACUAUGGGCUCUGAAGACAAGGCCAUCUUGUGUCCCUUGGUGGCACCUAUUCUCACUGGGGCACACAGGGCUCCAUGGGGGUUCACUGGGUGCCAGGUGCCAGGAUUGGCACCCAGGACCUAGGAGGGAUAGGAGGGCCCCCUGACUGCUUAUGAAGCUUGGAGCGGUGACAGCCAUGCAGGGUCUCAGUGUCCUCAUGCAUCCCGUGGUUCUACACAGUGAGACUCCUUCCCUGCUGAUUUUGCCACUGUGAGGGCCACCAGGGAGCUGCACCUGGCAUGAGGGCAGCCUUGGAUCUCACGCUCCUCAUUUCUCUCUCUUGCUUUUCUCUUUACUUGUUUUUUGGGGAAGAAAUAGAACUAGUUAUUCAUGAUAAGCUAUUAGUAAUUUCUACUCUAUUAGUUUCCUCAUGUUUUAUCUAUCAGCCAGAGUUUCCUUAGUCUGUCACCAUGGCUGUCAAUUGGCUGAUCUUGCCUUAUCUUUUCUUUUUUUUGCAAUUUUAAUUAAUUAAUUAAUUAGUGGUGCUGGAGAUUGAAACCAGAAUCUUUACACUGAGCUAUAUCCUUGGCCUUUGAAAAUUUUUUUUAUUUUGAGACUGGAUCUCACUAAGUCACUAAGUUACCUAGGCUGGGCUUAAACCUGGAUCUUUCUGCCUCAGCUUCCCAGAGUGCUGGUUUUACAGGCAUGCGCCACCAUGCGUGACUUAUCCUCUAAAAUCACCAGAGAUACACAGUCACUGAUGCAUGCACUGGUGAGCAUUUUAGAGCAGGUAGUCACUUGCAGUCUUGAUGCAAGUGUGGUCUUUCCACGUCUGCAUCCCUUGGCUGCCUUUACCAUUUGAGGAGUUAUUUUUCUCAUUUCCCCUCAUUCACCCUUUGGUCCACCCUUUGGCCAUAUCCACUUGACCACCGAGAAUGGAGUCGACACUCUUGUGGUAACAUUCUGCAGGGUCAGAGAUACGAAAAGCUUAGUUCCAAGUCUGUGAAAGUUUAUCAUGCUUCUCUGGUGGCUUAUUUCCACACUAUCCUUGUUACAGGAGUGGCAGUAGAGCUCACUGCUCCUGCCCCAACCUGAAAACUGGCUUGUUUUUCCAUAGAAGUUUUGCCGUUUUCACAUGAAGCUGGUGUUAUUUCUUCUAAUCAUACAAACUUGAUGAUGGUUACCUUCCCCAUGGAGACAAUCAUACAAAAAAGUUUCAUGUUUUUGGACCCUUGAGAUUGGAUAGAGAUUUAAAGAAGAGGCAGAAGUGCAGAGACUUUGUACAAGGAAACCCUGACUUGGUGACAGAUUGGAUGUGGAGGAUGAAUGAGAGAGCAGGAUGAAAGGGGAGUCAUGAAAGUAUGCUCUCUGGGGCGUCAGGUGCUCUCCCUGGCAGGGAAUCGUUUGUGCUGGGAGGUGAUGAGACAAAAAAAUUCACUUAUCUCUCUUCAACUUCUGACUGUGUUAGAAAUUAUUCAUACAUAGGUGUGUAUGUUUAUGUGUAUGUUUACGUGGCCCUAGUGUUUAUGAAAUAGAACAUUUUUCUACAGGACAUUUUGGAGAAUAUACUCACCUUUCCUCUUCAGGCUGGCACUUGUCUGUCGCCACCCCCACCCCCCAUCCUCCUACCCCUUGGACCCUUUCUCCUCCUAGAUGGGCCCACUUCUAAACAGAAGCACCCCAGAGACCUCAUGUUUAACGUGACCAGAAAUAAUGAAUCCAGUGUCCCUCCAAACAUUCUCUGCUUCCUAGGGUCCUGGUUUGGUCAGUAGUACUACCGUACACCCCAAUGGAAGCCCAAGAACCAUUUUGAAUAUUCUUCCCAAGCUCACCCAAGCAGCUUCCCAGAGAAGGAAGCAACUAAAUUCAGACUUUUCUGCAUUGCCUUUUUAGGGCUGUGGGUCUUGUAAAAAACAAUAGCAACAACUUCUCUUAGGAGAUAAACUGGAGAGAACUGAAUGUUACCUACUCCAGAGUAAGGUGUUGUGGGGGAGAAGUGGCCCCUAAAGAGAGCCGGUCUUGGGGUAGACAUUUCAUGCAUAAUCAGGAGCACUCCACCCACAUGAUACUGUCUGUUCCAGGCCUGCUGAGCAUGGUGGUGGCUUUGCAUCUGCACUUGAAUCUGUACUGGAUUUGAAUUCAAGGUCUGGCAUGUUUCACCAUUCAUGUUAAACUCAUCAUGUGGUAAUUUGGUUCUCUUAAGGAAAUGCCCUGCAUUUUGAACUCCAGGCAUUCCUAGGAUCCCUGUUGUGAAGAGGCCAGGGCUUCUGACCUCAGCUUCACCAGCAGCCCAUGGGGCAGUGGUUGUAGCAAAAGCCACAUGAAAUUUUUCGUGUGUCUUUCAGUCACUGUUCUGGGGAGCAGGAACAGUUGGUUCACUGUCACAUCAUAUCUGUGCCUCAUCAUGAGCUGAGUCCUGGUAGUGUCUCCUUGGCUUUGGGGCUCUGGGGCUGUCCCUUGCCAUUAAACCAGAUGUGCCCCUCAAAGUCCAGUGUCUCCUUACUUCCUGUUGGAGCCAUGAGUACUUUUCAGAAUGGGCCAGUCUUAGUGCUUUCUAGAGCUGUCUUGUGUGUUGGAGGAGAGUUUUAAUUCUCUCACUAAAACUGUAAAUGGGCACCAUCCAAGGUGGCUGAAGCUUAUGAACAGAAAUCAGGGAAGGGGAGAUUAAUUCCAUAACAGCAAUGGAAAACGCUGUGAAAGCAGUUUUCUGAGCCUUUAGGAGUGCUGCUUCAUGGUUCAGAUGGCAGGUGGUUUCCUUCUGAGCCACAAAAAGAACAGUGAGAUGUUCCUAGACACACUAUGAAUCUCUUGGAAUCUUGUGAGAAACCAGCACCUGUGUGCUAGUCAGCUUUUCCAUCACUGAAACACAAUACCUGACAUCCACAACCUAAAGGAGAAAUUUAAUGUGGCUCACAGUUUCAGAGGAUUCAGUCCAUAGUCAGCUGGCUCCAAGGGCAGGAACAUCAUGGUGGAAGGGCAUAGUAGAGCAGAGCUGCUCAGUCCAUGGCAGACAGGAAGCAGAGCAGAGCUGGGGAAUAGUGCCAGAGAGGAACUGGCAAAGUCACACCUUCAUGACCUGCCUGAACACACCUAUGAAAGUGCUUUAUUGAUCUACUAGAUGCUUCCUAGUCCAAGACAAGUCAAUAAAUCAGGAUUAAUAGUCACAAUUUAGAACCUCCAGGUCUCCAUUUUGCACUUGGCCAGGCUGGAUGGUGACUCCAGUGUCUGCUGCCAGACUGCACAAGACAGGGACAGGCUGCAGAACAGUGGUGCCAUCCUCCAACAAAGACCUGCAGGAAGAGGCAGAGGGCACACAGGGCUUCUGGGGGACACUUCAGGUCAAGGCUUUGUAUUUAAACAUUUUUAAACACCAAGUACUGAGUUCUGGCUCUGUGAGACAUAGACUUCUUCUAUCUUCAUGUCCUUUCUUCCUUUUUCCCUCACCUACAGUUGUCAUUCUAAUACCUUUGAUGUGUCUUCUUUUAUUUAAAUAGAUUGCCAUGGAUUACAUAUCCUUGUAGUUAUGGGUAUAAGAUUUUUAAUGACACAUUUUUCUUUGAUACAUAAUGACCAUUUUUUGUAGUAGGAUAGAGCCCAGGACCUUCCCACUGAGCUAUACCCCCAGCCCCUGUUUGUUGUUUAUAUCUUUAUUGAGACAGGGCCUUGGUAAGUCACCAAGUUGUCCAGGCUGGGCUGAAACUUGUGAUCCUCCUGUCUCAACUUCUCAGAGUAUUGGGAUUACAGGCAUGUACCAUCAUGCUGGGCUAAUAUGGAUGUUUUUACAGUAUACAGUUCUUUGGCCUUUAGAAUAUACACAGAGUAAUGCAACCUACACCAUUAUAUAAGUUUAGAGUAUUUUCCUCACAUCAAAUGGGAAACCUGUGCUUACAUAGUAUUCUUGUGGUUUCUAUGGAGAUGUUGCUCUGUACAUUUCACAUAAAUGAAUUCCUAUGAUGUGUGGUCCUUGUGACUGGCUCCUUUCAUAUGUCAUGGUGUUCCCAUCCAUGCUAUGUAGCCUGUGUCCAUAUUUCCUGGCUCUUCAGGACCACGCCACCCAUUGUGUGGAAACAACACAUUUUAUUUAACCAUCCAUCCAUCCAUCCACCCACCCAUUGCAGACAUUUGGAUGCUUUCCACUUUAUGGUGAUUGUAAAUAGUCCUACUAUGAAUUUGUGUGCAGGCUUUGGUGUUUCACUUCUCUGUGUGGACACCUAGGAGUGUAAUACUUGGGUCACAUGGUAACUCUAACCUGCCCAGCUGGAAAGAGAAGGUUGGUAUCAGAGCAAGUUGUAAAGACACAAAACCCUCCAUCCUGGCCAAGAGCCAGCCAUUUUUUCUUGAAUAGUCUCUCCUCAAAUUGUUACCAGGUUUGGUUAAUUUCCAGAAUUGUGAUGAGAUUUGUUUUGACAAGCUUGGUCAGUAUUUCCUUUGCUCUUAUGAAGGGGCAGCUUUUUGGAGGUCUUUCUUCCAGGAGGCCCCUGAUGUCCGGUGCAUCAGACUUCAUUGAAUAAGUGGUAUGGUACUAAAACUCCUGUCUUAUUUAUUUUUGUUAAUUUCUUUGUUUUUAAACUCUAUUGAUAUGACUUGAACUUUGCUUGAAAUGAAAGCAUAGUGUUCCAGAGAUCAAUCCACCAAAUGACAUUACAUCCCCUGACCUGACAGAAAGAUGCAUUAGUCGGGGCACUUUGGUGACUAAGAUUUCCCCAGGAGAUAUUUUCCUUUCAUUGCACUGUAAGUAAGCUCCUACUCUACUUCUCUCUCUCUCUCUUUCUCUUUCAUUUUCCUUUAUCCAUUUUUGCAAUCUUUAUUGAGGUAUAAUUUGCAUUCAUUAAAAGUUGAAUUUGAUGAGCUUUGACAAAAUGUGUAGUUAUGUAUACACCAUCACAAUUAUGACAUAAAUGAUUUGUAUCCCUCUACCCCUUUACAGCCAAUGUCUUUCUUUCGUCCCCGGCCCUUAGAAGCCAGUGCUCUGCUUUCCACUCCUUCAGUGAGAUCCCUUCUCCUAUUGUUUGUGGAUGGGGACAUGCUCCAUGACCCUUUCUGUGUUUUGCCUCUUUCUCGCAGUAGUGCACUGCCAGGAUCCGUCACUGUGAUGGAUCUAUCAGCAUUUGGAUCCUUCUUAUUACUGUGCAGGAUUCUGCUGUGUGGACAUGGAACAAUUCAGUUUCUCCAUUUGACAAUUAGAGAACAUUUGUGUUGUUUCCUGUUUUGUACUAUUUUAUAUAAAGCUAUAAACCUUCAUGUUCAGAUAAUUCAGAAAACAUAAAUUUUCAUUUCUUUUAGGAGAAUGCCAGGAGUAGAAUUACUGCUCAAAUGAUCAGUCUAUUUUAACUUUGUAAGAAACUGGAAAAUGGUGACAAAUGAUGUUGAGCAUGCUUUUGAGUACUCAUUUGCCAUCCAUAACUUCUUUUACAGAAUGAUUACACAAAUCCUUUGCCAAUUUGUUAUUAGGCCAUAGUCUUCCUAUUAUUGAAUUAUAAGACUUCUAAAUAUAUAUUAUUUAAAACUGUACAUGUUUUUUUACAGUUUAUUACAAUAUAUGGCUUAUCAUCUUAUCCUAAUAGUGUCAUUUGAAGGUCGUAGGCAUUUAAUCUUGAAGUCUAAUUUGUCAACUUUUUUCUUUCAUGAUUUUGCUUUUUAUGUUCUAUUUAAGACAUUUUUUCUCACCUAAGUCAUUAUUCUUUUUCCUGCUUGUUUCUAGAAAUAUUGGUCUAAAUUUAUACAUUUAGUUUAGUAAUCUACCUUAUGCUAAAUUUCAUACAUGGUAAGAAGUGAGGUCCAAAGCUUUUCUUUAUGUGGUGGACCAGUUGUUUGGAUGCAGUAUGUUGAGAAGAUGAUGAUUUCCUGUUGAGUGGCUUUUGCUGCAUUUCUUUUGAAAUGACUUCCCUGUUAAUGUGUGGUCCAUUUCUGAAUGCUGUCCUGAUCAGUCAGAGUACCUUUACAGCAGUACUGUGCUGUCUUGAUUAAUGUAACUUUUUAAAAGUCUUGGAAUCAGGAAGUUUAGAUCCUCAGAUGAUCUUCCUCUUCAAAGUUGUUUUGGUUUUUCUAGGAAACACAUUAUUUCAGAAAAAAAGUGGGCACUUGAAUAGAUAUUUUUCAGAAGUACAAAUGACCAAUAAAUACAUGAAGAAAUGUGGGAGAAAUUCAAAUUAAAGUAACAUUGUGAUUCCACCUUACUGUAGAAAGAAUGGUCAUCAUCAAGAAAUCAAAAAUCAAAUAAAAACAUGCUGGCAAGAAUGUGGGGAAAAAGGAACCUUUCUACAUGAUUGGUGAGAGUGUUAACUAGUACAGUCACUAUAGAAGUAAGAAAGCUAGAAUGAUCUUGUUAAUUUCUAAAACAAUCUACUUAGAACAUUGAUUAGAGUUGCACUGACUAUCAAUCAUUUUGGGAGACUUUGCAUAUUAGUGACGAUGGAUGUAUUUGCAUAUACAAGUUUUAUGUAGCUAUUUUUAAAUUACUCUCUAUAUUGUUUUAUAGUGUUCCAUGUACAAAUACUAUGCAUUUAAAAAAGUGUAUACCUUAGUUCAUAUUUUAAUAGUAUAAAUUUUUUAAAAACUUUGCUCCCUAUUUCCAUUUGUUCUCCAGUAAUAUGUACAAAUGUAAUUUACAUUGAUACAUCGACCUUUCAUUGUACAGCUUCGCUAAACUGAUUCAUUAAUUUGCAUAGCUUUUUCAUAGAUUCUAGGAUUUUCUACAGAAAUGAUCAUUUAUCUGCAAAUCAAGCCAGUUUUUCUUCUUCUUUCUGAUUUAUCUGGCUUUUAUUUUCUUUUCCUGCCCUGUUCCCCUGGCCCAGACUGCAAGAACAGGGAGGGAUAGAAACGUGAGUGGUGAAACCUCAGCGUGGUUCUCAGUCUCCGGGAAAAGUGCUCCGUCUUAAAACAUUAACUGCAAGAUUACUUGUGGUUUUCUCAGAGGUGUCUUUUAGCAGGAUACGGGAGCUCUUGCCAUAGGGAAACUGUCAUAAAUCUCUGCUUGGUCUGCCUGUAUAUGCAGCCCACACAUUUUGGCAUGUUAUGGCUUAGUGCUUGUUCUGUUCAUACUCACCCUUAUGCAUAGAUCCACAUUCAGCUAAAGACUCAAGAGAACACACUGCAGAUUUCCGGAGCAACAUCCAGCACCUGCUCUAAAGAUCCUAGCUUCACUGACCUCUUUGAACUCUGGAUACUGGGUCACUGAUCUCACGGCCACUGGGUUUUCUGUCACAUCUCAUUUUAAGCUGGAAACUUUCUCCAGGCCUUGAGCUGGGGCACUUGCAAGCCCAGUUGAUGGUUUCCAUUUUUUUUAGGGCUGGCUUGCUCUCUUUUAUAGUGCCUACUGUCAAAGUGUAGCAACCAUCACUUUAUGUGUUUUCCCUGUGUUCAUACGGUGAAGGGGAGAGUACCUCGGCUUCCUGUCACUGUGUUAUGGUCAGGAGCAGAAGUCUGCUCUUAACACCCUUGAAAUCUGCACUUGAUCUUGUGACCAUGACUUAUGAAGGAAGAGUACAUGGUGCAUGGGAUGGGAACUUCCAGAAGCUGAUUCUCCAAAGAAGGAAAGGUGAGAAAUGGAAGAUAUCCAUAGAACCCAAGGACUGGGACCACUCUUCUGGUGCUCAUUUUCGCAGGCGUGUGUUAGUUUGUCCAAGAGAGGAUCCAGGAAAACACUGAUGCUCACCCCACCUCGGACUGACCAGAUCUGAAUCUGUGCAUUAGCGUUUUAUAAAAUCUGCCCCCAAAAUCUAAUGUGUACCUCCACUUGAGAACCACUGUGCCAGCUCCUGUGAGAUGAUUCUGGCCUCUCUUGCAAGAGGUGGUUCUGUAUGCAAAGGGAAACAGUUUAGCAGCAUGUUCUAGAAAUGCGUAGCUCCUAACAUCCACAGGCAGCUGGAAUUGUUUGGAGGAGCUGAGAAGCAGGGGUGCUUUGACCUCAAUAUGUAGUACAAGAGCAGCUGGGAAAUGCCCAUGAAUCUGUGCUGAUGUGUUCUGAAUGGAGGAAGGACAUUUAGGUGCUUAUAUCAGAAUCUGUCAAUCAAGGCACUUGGUAGUUACUUUGAAAAUUUCAGUGAGUUUGUUGCAUGAAUUUGAUCAGGGCAUUUAGUAUCCCCGAACCUCCUUACUCUUUUGGUGUUCUUGUGUGUGAAAUGGUCUAUUGCUGUUAUCUUCAAGAUUUCGUGAUGCUCAUUUGACCACAUGAAAGCAUUUUGGAAUUUAUUAAAAGAGAAAAGCUAAAAUCCUAAGUUCUGUGUUGUAUGUUUUAAAUAAGAUAAUUUAAUUUAUUUCUAAGCAGAAAGUGACUGAGCUAUAAGGGUCCCUUAGAAAUUAGACUUUGUGCAAAUAUGCAUUGCUUUGAUUUGAGUUAGCUCACAGAGGAAAGUAGGUUUACUUUUAGGUGAAAUUAAAGACAUACAAAUUUCCAAAGUAAAUAUUUUAAUGAGUAGGCUAAACAAAGUGUAGGGCUAAACAAAGUGUACAGUGCCAUGGCUAUGUGUUUCUCCUUUGUAGUUAUUUUCUCUUUAUUUAAAUAUUCUUUCUGUAGGGCAGAAUCCUCUUGGAUUUCUGUUGUCUCUCGGUAAAAUAAACAGCAAUACUGGUCACAGGCAGAAUCUCGCUCCCCUGUGGGAUGUUAUGUUAUAGCAGGAGAUAUUCUCAGCCUGUGGAGAUCUCAGAGGGGCUAAACCGCAGCUCAGGCCUAGAUCUAGCAGGCUUUUGCAGAUAUUCAAUCUAAGUUGGCCGAGUAGCAGAAUCCCAAACGAACUCUUUAGAAGACCCACAGGCGGCACUGGGAGGAAAUCCUGUGGCAAUUUGGUGCAUUUUCUGCUUCUUGCACAUCACCUAGAACUUGUCAGCUUGGUCUAAGAGCUGGUCAUGGGCUAGGUCAUGGGCUGAAUCGUGGGGAAUCUGGCACUGGUUCUGGUGGCAGUGAUGCAUGGCCUUCACCCUCAGAUGCUCACCAGUAGCUGCUCCCAUUCAUCCUGUGGGCAUGCCUAGCCUGAGCUUGGUGUUUCCAGAGAUUGAGUUCUGAGAGAAGGAAAAUUUUUGACUUACCUUGUUGCUGACUAAGCAAGACGAAGUGGAUUGUGGGGUUAGAUUAAAUCCAUCUGCUUCAGAGGAUACACCUGUUUUCCUGAUUUGGAAUCGUGAAUGCCGAGGAGCAGUAAAUGUGGAAGGGGACAGGGCCGGAAAACCAAACAGGAGCCCAUGCAGUGAACCCGGACCUACCCCAGCAAGAAAGGACCCCUGCCUUCCUCCUUUCUCUCCAUGUCUCCACUGCUUCCAAGGCUGCUCACUCCCUGCUCUCUGCCACGUUGUCAGUUAGGUGGAAAGACUCUGCACACUCUGUCCUUCCAUGUCCAUUUAGUCUCAUUCUGGGGGCAUUUGUGACAUUUGAAAUUAAAGACCCUGUGCUCAGAAAGACUGGUUCAACAUGGCUCAGGGGCUCUGCUCAAGCUCAGCCAGAGAGACAGUGCUCAGUGUGCACUCUCCAAUGGUUUUAUUGCUGGGGAUCUACCUAAGGCCUGAGCCCUUUAGCUGUGUCCCUGUGAGCAUCAGCAUUUGGAUGAAUUCUUUUGAAUCUGUUUCUAGGACUUUAGUUCAAUUAAUUCAGCGUUGUCCUUUACUUGUCAAACAAUAUUGUAUCAGUCAGUGUUCACCAGCAGAACAGAUUUAAUAUAAAAUAUAUAUGAUAUAAAGGAUUUAUUUACUAGGUAGGCUUACAGUGGCCGCCUGCAGAGUCUGGGGAAGAACACAAAAGAGCCAUCUGUGGACUGGAGAGCUGAAGGAUCCACUCAAAAGUCUAAGGUCUGGAGCUCACUGUAGAGUUCCUUGUGAGUUAGUAUCUGGAGGCUGAAGGGUCUGUGUUGGAAGAGUGAAGAAUCUGUGUGGGAAACCCAGAGAUGGAUGUCCAAAGAUGAUGGUGAAGACUGGAGCUCCUUCAAAGAAACAGAGACUUCUUCCUUUCCCUUUUAUUCCAUGCAAACUACAAGCCUAUUGGUUGGUGCCUCCCACACCCAGAUUUGGUCUUUUGCCUUCAAUAAAUCCAUCAUCCAGACACACUUAUAACUCAGCUAAACCAGUCAGCUGGAUGUUUCUUAUUCAAGUUGACACCACAAUUCUACAAAUGCCUGCCAGAAGAGUAGGCACUGGUAUAACCCCGAGCCAUGAGAUCUAGCUGCACAGUGGAGUCUUGAACUUGCCAGAAUGGGGGCUUUAUGGAGGUCUAUCCAAAUUUUUUAAAUGUAGUGGAAGAAAUAUCAAAUGCAAAAUAAACCUCUUAGCUUUACAGAAAGUAUUUCCCAUAUAAAAGGAGUCUUCUGUGAGAUCAGUCCUAGGUACAAGCUUUGAGGAUGGAUCCUUGGAGAGAGGACACACACGUGAACAUGCACGCAUAGGCCUGCCAAGUGCCUGGGAACUUCAGUCUGUAGGGUCUUCUUAGAUUCUCUAUUAGGAAGAAUCUUAACAAAAGGUUAUCUUUCAGGAAAAUGGGAACAUUUUUACCCAGAGGCCUUGCAAGCUUUAGAGGAAAGUACUGUUGUUAAGAAGGGUUUACAGGGAAUUAAAGUAGCUUGGACUAAAAAGAAGAAAGUAUGAUACAUUGUCUAAAAAAUCCUGCAGUGACAAUUCUUUCUUUUAACUUGGCAAAGUAAUGCAGACCUGAAAUGUCCCUGUAAGGCCAUGGUCAAGAUAAGAGUUUUAUUACUUUGGCUCAGUAUCAAAAUGGUAAAACAUGAAGUAUAACUCAAGAUAAUAAUUUUCUUUAAAUCUUCAUUGCAAAUCUUUUAAAAGGAAAAAAGGGAAUCAAACAUGGGCUAGGGGAGUGGGAAGAGUUAGAGGGAUGGGGGAGCUGCAAACAGGAACAAGCCUAGAUCUCAAGCCAAUCUUUAGGGUUCCUGGGGGUGAGUAGGGGCCUGUGGAAGAUGAAGGAGCAUUAGAGUCCAUAGAGUUCUCUGGUCCUGAACAUGAGUGUCUGGGUCAGUGCUGUAAAGUCUCUUGGGGGCAUUUCUUUAAUCAGUAACGAUGAGGAAACUGAUCCAAGGAACAGCAAGAACAGUAUCAGGGACCAGAUGCCUACCUGCCAGGACUCAGCUGGAGUUCAAAGUGACAUUUCCUAUGCUGCUUAAGUUUCACUAUCUUUUAUAAGCCCCCUUGGGGACAUUUUUCUAGUGGACAAUGAUGACAAAUGCCACCUUGCCCAAGCAAAGCAGGACUGAAAGUCAGCACGCCUGGUGUUUGAGUCUUCUCAUCCCUUCAGCCACCCAGAAAGCAGCAAGAAGAUGUUUGGGCAAAAGCUCACUGACACAAGCACUAAUAAUGCAAAAUAUGUUUUGUUAAAAACAAUACAGACCUCAGAUUCUGUUGAAAUGUACAUUAUAAAUGAUUUCAGUGAGAGUAAAAGAUGUGGUGUUUAAUAGGGAUGGGAAGACAAGGAACAAUUUUCAUUAAAAAGGAAAAACCCAGUAUUUUCUAGGGCUCUGCCACCUGAAAAUCAUAAUGAAGCAGGAGGGACAUAAAAGGAGCCAAGUAUGGAGGAAGAUGUCCCUGGGGAGCUGGCUGUGGACAUGGACAUAGGGUAAGAGCUGCAGCACUGUCCCUCUGUCUACCUCUUGGGCCCCUGGGACUUCCUACUCUGGGGCUGACAAAAAUCCCCUCGGAUCCCUUCACUCCUCAGCUGAGGUGGCUUCUGGUUCUUUGCAUGGUGCCAGAGUGCCUUCAAUAGGCCAUUGCUGUGGCUUUUUCCUUGUUUCUGCUGUGCCCCAUGCUCCCCUCACUCCCAAAGCCUAACUUGGUAGCCCUUGCAGUACCUCCUGUGGCAUUUCCACAGAAAAGUUUAUGAAAACCUCUUCAUGGAAAGAACUGUGCACCCAACACUACUGGAAAUCAACCCAAACUGUAGAGUGUGUGGGUCCAGGGGGGGGACCCCUGCCCUGGUGUGGCUGAGAUCUGACCAAAAAAAGCAGCCUGAGCUCUGUGAGACUAAGGCUGCUUCUGAGCUGGUGCAGCUGGGGGAAUUAUGCUCCUCUGUCUACUGCAGCAGAAUGAACAUCACAGAAAUACAGGCUGCUGUUCUACUGAUUUGUACAUUUGCAUGCACAAUUAGGUGAGGGGCUGAUAGCCAAAGUACAGUGUCCCAUUGGUAUUUGCAGUGCCUCUUUUGUUUCUCCUUCCAUGGGUGCCUCACAAGGACUUUGUUUUUAUUUGAAGCUCUUUUAAUUUGCACUUUUGAGAUGUCAAGCACCCUGGUGUCAUUUUGACUUCCAUGACACCCUCCCCUCCCAUGAAAGCCAUGUACAGUCUGUGGCAGGGCAGUUUCUCUGGAAGAGGCUGUCCUCAGCCCCUUCCAGGGCUCCUGCUUCCUGCCAGUCAUGUGUUGGGUGGGUGGAGAAGAAGGUGCCCAUGCCCUUUCUGCAGGCUGAGCCUUGAACCAUUUGCCCAGACACUGUCUCUCUGGAUCUCCUGGGGAGAGUGGAAAUUCCACGUUCAGAGUCCACUUGGCCUCUAGGACUGGCUGGAUGGAGGCUGGAUGCCUAAAGGAGGCAAAGGAGAACAGGAGGGAGGGGACUUCUGUGAGGCAUCCAGGUGGCAACUCCAUCUUCAGGUCCGUCCCAGGCAGAAACACUGUAAGGAUUGAAGUGACCACUCCCUCUAUGGCCCAAGGCAUGCUCUUGCCUGCAUGUGUGAACCACAGCCUGGUCCAAGGUCCAGGCUCCUGGUGUCCACAGCAUCCAAGUCCGAAAGGCAGGUUCUGCUGUCUGUUUUCCUCCCAGUGUCGGGGAUGAGGGCCGGAAGCUGGGACAGGCCUUGUCCUGUUAUGGCUUCAGAUCCUGCCUUCACUGCAUCAGUGGAAGCUGAGCACGCCAUAUUUUAGCAGAGGUUAACAAACCCAGUAGUGCAUUACAGAGGAGAAGGAAAGGAGCUCACACAACAUUUUAAGAAAUUACAGAAUUUUCUUAGACACUGUACCUGACAAUUUGGGGCCUAGGGGAAAACAAACUCUGAAAUUGGUGACAUUGGGAUUCUGCAACCAUUAUGUAUUAUCACAAGAACCCGACUGUGAAAAGACUAACCCUUUAUUUCAAAUCCAUGGUUUCCCUUUGAGAAACAACAUUUUGGGAGGGAAAAAAUAAAGACCUUUCCAGGCAAUGUAAUCAACAGACAUGGGUCCUUUCUAGGCAUUUGGAAAAACCCCAAGGUGAAUUCUAACUUCUGUUUUAAAACAUCAAACAGCCAGUACUGGUUGAAGGUCCUUCACCAGAAAUGCUAGGGACCACUUGUAUAUUUCAAAAUUAUGAUGUUUUCAGAUUUUGGAAUACAGUAAUACAUUGAUUCACAAACUUGAUUUCUUCUAUGAUUUUGGAAAAGAUGGCUACAUUUGUAUUUGUUUGGGAAAGAUGAUUGUGAUUAUGUUUGUCACCCAAGGCAGGGUUUGAAAACAAACAAAAUUUUUCCAAAGCCUUCUGUUUGUGAACCAAAUUAUUUGCAAAUAAAUAAAUUAUUUGUGAACCGAGGUACCCCUGUAUUUACAUGUAUGUAAUACAAUAUCCUGGGGAUGAGAUCCAAAUCUAAACGCGAAAUUCAUUUGUGAUUUGUAUGCACCUUACACUCAUAACCUAGAAGUCAUUUUAUACCACAUUUUUAAUGAUUUUGUAUAUGAACCCAAGUUUCGUGAUAUGGAAUUUUCCAUUUGUGGCAUCCUGUCAGUACUCCAAAAGUUUGGGAUUUGGAGCAUUUUGGAUUUCACAUUUUCAAAUUAGGGGCACUAAAUUUGCAUAUUUUACAAAAUUCUCCAAAGAGAAAAAAGGAAAAAAAUCCUAUUGACUUCAUGGGUUGCGUACUCUGAUGCCUGACCCACAUCACUUCUGCUGAAAUGCAAAUCAGGACCUUUUCUUUGAGAAUAGAAAACAGAUACCCGUUUGUCACUCUUUAAAAAAAGGCUUCAUGUCCAAAAUUGCUUUUGAACCUAUUCCAUGUGAUCCUGUCUUCCUCUGAAAUUCCCAGUGCCUCUUUUCUAUUUGUCUAAGUAGAGAAAUAAGUUACCUUACUCAUUUUUUAUGUCCUCCUCUGAACUCCUUCCAACAACAGUUCAUCUCACUUCUGCAGGCCCCAAACUGGACACAGCAUUCUUAAUUCAGAUGGGAAUUAGCCAGGCAUUUGCUUAGACCUUGCAGAUGUGAAAAAGAAAAAUGUCCUGAAGGAAAGAUCUGAGCAAAUGGAAAGAACAGCACCUCCCUGGCCCAUUCAUACUUGAAAGGCCUUGCUGGAUGGUCAGCCAGAGUAGCAGCAGGAAGUGUGGAAAUCAGGCUGGAAUGGGGUGUAAUCCGUGCUGAGGUCAAAGAGAUGCCGCAGUGUCAAAUCCAGGAUUUAAUAGGAAUCAUCAGUGAACUUUCCUUUCAAAUUCUGAUAUCCUUUGUUCUUCAGCACAGACAACUUUAUCCUAAACACUUCCUAGAUAAUUUAAAUUUCAGCAGGAAAAAAACGUUGACUUUCUGUAAGGAAAACUGGUCAGGUGGUUUGUAAGUUCUAGAGACAAGGGCUGUCUCCAAUUUCUCUUCAUCUCAGGGAGCAUUUUGCAAGAGGACCCAUCAGUGGGCUGCCCAGCUCCAAGCCAAAUCAUCUCAUUUGAGUGAAGAUUUGGGGGGAAAAAGGAAAAAAAUGCUUCUUAUAAAAUGAAUUUGCCAAAAGUCAUAUUGUCCCAGAGAUAAGGUUUAUUUGAAUAGGCUUGAUUUGCUUAAUUUUUCAGUAGGCAUAGAUUAUUUAGAAAAUAAUUUUUUUUAAAUUUGUUAAGAUCUGUGGUUAUUUGGUAAAAGUUGCAACGCACCUUGAAAUGUAAGAUUUCAUGCCUCUGAGUUUCAUGUUGUGAGCCUAUUGACUCAUUAAUUAGUAGGAAAGAAAAUCCUCAGGAAAAAGAAAUAGAUUGCAAUGUAAAUUCUUAUUGUUGCUUUAAAAAGCUCUCUGUUUGUGAGCCACUUCACCAAAGAAAGCUCCUGGUCCAGUGUCUAGGCUUCAACUCCUCUGCCUUAUACUCGGAAUCAUGGUAUGGGACUCCUGAGCACUGAGCAGGUUUACAGAACCAUCCUGUGGCCCUUCCUUUCCUCAAUCUUAGAACAGAGCUCCUUUCAGAAGCUUAUUUCCUCUGCCCAGGAGGGAGCCACUGCGAGAGGUUCCCAUCUAGCCCACCUGCUUGCUGAUACCCACUUUCCGUAAUAGUCAUGUGGAAGGACCCAAGUCAGACCCUUGGGGGCUUUGUCCUCAGAAGACCAAACUAAUUGUCAGUCCUAUUCCAGUUUUGUAGGACUUAACUGCUUAAUCCUCCAAUCCCCAAAUAGAGAAGCAUCGAGGUGGGUGGUACUUGCAAACCUUAACCAGGUAGUGACCAUCCAUCCAAGGGCCCGGCAGCACUUUCUGGACGCUGUGUGGGAGCACUCACAGGGCUUCUGCCAUCUGUUCCCCUUGGAACAUUGAUUUGUUGUCUGAUUUAAAUAUAGAGUUCAGUAUGCAGGUGUGUAAGUGCAGCAUAAAUAACAUGGUGUCCUCCUUUGGAGCCAAGGGGCCUUCAUCUGGGGAACUGAUAUAAUUUUACUGAGGAGUGAGGCAGCAGCAUAAAUAUGUGGGGAGCUUUGUCAUGGGCCAGUGUGGAAUUGGUCAGAAAGAGGAGCUUGGAGGAGGGGGAAUGGAGGGCAGGGAGGGUAGGAUGCCAGGAGGCACCAAAUUGGGGCAUGGGGACCUGAACAUUGGAAGCCAGUCCCCAGAUACAUCCAGAGCGGCUCAGCAAAUGCUCCCUAAUUACCCUUUGUCCCUGGAGAAUUUCAGAGACAGAAUGAGAUUUUCUGUGUGAGCCUCAUCUUGGGUGGGUGGUUCCCCCCUUCCCUUGUCCCCUUGAUGGAGGAGGAAGGGAGGGCAUGGAAGGGCCAUGCAUCACACCCUGGACGACAACAAGCUGGCGGCUUCUGCUUCACUUCUCAGCCAGGAGGGCUGGCGAUGCAGAGUAGAGGAGCCCAGAGCUCCCCGGGGUCUGAAUGCUCCGGAGGUGUGCAGAAGGGAAUGGCCACGAUGUCGCUCCUGGUGGCUGCCCACCAGAAAGUGGACACCACAGUGACCUCCGGGUUCCCCGCCAUGCUGGUAAGGGCUGCGUGUGGGUGCGCGGAGGGGAGGAGCGUGUCAUUUCACCGUUAUUCAUUGGGAUUGACAAUGACCGAGGUCUGCACGUUUUUCAAUUUGGUCCUCCAAGUUUGGAUCUUACCCGCUCAGUUUUCUGAACAUGAAUCCUACCCAGACUGCUGCGGAUGCACCGAAUGAGGAAGCAGGGUGGGGAAGCAGGUCCUUCUCAGCUGUCAGGCGGGAAGGGAAACGGGGGUGCGAGGAGAGAAAGAGAGAAGAGGAAAGGGGUUGCAGGGGCAGGGGGCAGGGCCGCUCCAGCUCCAUCCUUCGGGCAGCAGCACGUCGGAUGUGCAGGCUGGAGGAGCCGCAGAGCUGCCCAACCGUGAUGAGAAAUCAGGGAAAUGAGGAGUUAUUAAGACUCAGGCGGUAAGUCGGCGGAAGAAAUGAAUCCCGGAAAUGCAGUCCGUGUGAACUCCAAAUUACUACGGAGAUUGCAUUAGGCUCCCCAGACAUGAAAAGGAGGAGUCAGCCAAGACAAGCGCCCGGUGCCCUGAACCGGCUGGGCAGAGGUGUGGCGCUGAGGGUUGGUGGGAGGCCGUCACUGUCGCUCAGCUGCCCUGGGAGAUUCUCCGCAGGUACUGCAUCAGCACAUCCGCGCGCAUUCAUCCUGAGGGCGCCCUUUCCUGCCCUUUCACCUUUCACCGGGACAGAGCCUGGGCUUGGAGUGAGCAAGGGGCCCUCGUGUCUAGCCCUGGGUCACGGCAGAAUAAAGGGAGUGUGUGUGAGUAAAGGGAGAAUGGGUGUGUAAGUGUGCGAGGGAGGGAGGUGUGCUGUGCAUGUGGGAGCGAGUGCACAUGAGCGUGCUUGUGCCCACCGGCCCCCACUGGCAAAGAGGUUGCCAGCGUCCCCCAGGAUGCUCGACCUCCUCUUGCCAAGGUGCAGAAAUUGAGGUCCCCAGGAAGGGCAGGCUCACAGCAGCGGGAUGUGGGGGGCUGGCCGGGACCUCCUCUGGGAGCUGGGACACUUGGUGCAGAGGUAGGAAGAUGUGGGCACCUUUCUGGUGGCUACAGGUCAAGAGCUCUACUCUAGAACUGGGGGAGAAAUAGACCAGGAGAGCCCCCUCACCCUGAGCACUGCGGGCGGCCCCUAGGACAGCUGGGCUGGCAAGCCCCGCCCUUAGCCUCACAGCUCCUGGAGCCCUCCUUCCUCAUCAAUGCUGGGACGCCUCCAGUAUACCUUGGGUGACCACCCAAAAGGAGAAAAAGAACAGAGAGAACUAUUUAAGUGAGAAAAAGGAUAACUGAUGUUCUUCUUUGCUCAGGGGAUCGCAAUCACUUCCAGUCAAUGGAAGAGGAGGCUUUGGAGUGAGGACGGGUGUUGGGGGCAGACCUUCUGCCUUUAACACCCGUUCUUAUUGUUUGGACAGUGUGGGGUGGCCAUCAAGAACAGACUGUUCCCUCAGUGGCUGCACAGAGGCCGGUUCCCCCUGGCUUUUGAUGCUGGCUUUGGAGAGGCGCAAAGGGUCUCUCCCUUCCACGGGAACUGCAGUGUGGUCUCAGGAACAACCUGCCCACAUUUAACACAGACGUUUAAAGCUCAUGAAGAAAAAGAAGCUGAAGGAAGUGACUUUACUAAGCUUUGGAAAGAUUGGCUAGGGCCAGUUUGGGGAUUCAAAUCUGAUACCCUCCCUGGGCUAUUAAACUGUCAGUGUUUGGGGCACAAAGUAUGAGCGUAGAGCCCCUGGAAGGUGCAGGGGCAGCCCCAGACCAGACAGUGAAAGGACACAGGGUUCCCUAGAAGUCUUUGGAGCCAAAGUGUAUUGAAGAAAAGCCUGCUGCUGUCCCCAAAAUAGCCACUGUAGUCACUGGCCAGAGGGACUGGGGGAGGGCGGAGCGGGAAAUGCAUUCUGGAUUUGGGAAGAAGAUGCCAUACGGCUUUUUGCAAAGGACAUUGAGUUACCUCUUCUUUAGGGAAUCAACUAAUUUAUAAUAUCUGUGUUGAUUUUCUGAGUGAGCUUUUUGAUGUUGUUUUGUCUUUAUAAAAUGACAACUUUCUUCAUUUCCUAAUCUCAUUUUCCUGAAUUAGUUUACAUUCUUAGAAGAAGAUAUUUAGGCAAAGCUUUAAAAAUUCCACCAUAAGCUUUUAGUAAUGAUUCCAAUAAAGUAAAGUCUACUAUAUUUGUGGUUUUAAAAACAAAGGAAAGGGUUUUCUAGAAAAAGGAGAAGUGGGGUUUUCUGCAGGAAGAAUGCGUAGCAUCUUGGUGUCGAGGUCAGACUGCUGGCAUUGACCUGCAGCUCACGCUCCGGCUAUGUCUGCUUCUGCCUGGUGCUUCUCCUGGUCCCUCAUGUGCUUGUUCAGAGCCCAGGGGACCCGAGCCAUUCACGGCCCAACAACAGCAGUCUGUGGGGCCACGCUGACGCCACCAACCCAUGAGCCACAUGCUCCACGAGGUUCUUUUAACCUCCCCAAACCACAGCUGCGUCUCCAACACCACACACUCUCUCCUCUCUAGUUUCUUAUCUCUCCUUUUCUCUGCUCCCAUCCCUAUGUGUGCCCAUCUUUGGCUCACACCCCUGAAACUGCCUCUGCAAAUCCACCGGGACAUCGUGUGUACAUCUUGCCAUCAGUAACUCCCUUGGUCGGGCCCCCCACAAACAUGAGUCCCUGUUCCCUACUUCUUCUUUUUCCCAGUUACUGAUCUUGAUGCUUUUGGUUCCUCUCUCAUUCACUCCACAUCAUCAGUGACCAAAUUUUGCUGGCCCUGUAACCCACUCCCCUCUCCCCCCUUGGUUCAUGCCCCAUGGCUGGGACAUGUCCAGUGUCCAGGCUUCCUGUCCUCUCCAGGAUCCCCUCCUCCAGCCUCCCCAGUGACUUCAGUCGGUGUGAGAAAGCGCAGUUCCCAUCAGGUGAAUCCCAGCUAAACCACCCUUGGUCUAGUCUCAGAAUUUGUCAAAGCCCUUGUGCCAUUGUGAUUCAAUUGCUUUCAGCCUGGUCCUCUGCAUGCAGUCUACACAACUGAACAGGACACUCUGUUCUGUCCCCAGGAGCUCUGUGUCUUUCUGUGUCCUUGCUUUCAUAGUGCAGUGCUUAUGCCUACAAGGACUCACCCAGUCCCUGAAAUUCCCAUCCCUUGCAUCUAUAUUAUGAGAAAAUGUCCAUUAUUGUAAAUACAAGUCUGACACACACAUACACAUAUUUAAAAUAAUAAUGUUACAUAAAAUAUAUAUCUUAACAUAUAUGCUAACAUUUUUCUCAUCUUUCUGCUAAAUGUGAGAUGUCAUGAGUAGAUGUCACUCCUCCGUGGCUGCAGUAAUUCCCUUUGUAAGCACAGAAUUUAUAAAGAGGCAUGCUUCGUUUUGUUAGUGCUGUCCCAAAGUCUGUGUGUAAAUCAGUACUCAGCACAUAGCAGGGUUCAGGAGCUGAGCAAAUGAGUCGGUGAAUGAAUCUCUGCUGAGACCAUGGGUUCUGCUCCAGUGCUGUUCCUGACAUCUUCCAAAUGCAUCUUCAGGCUGUACUUCUGUGAAUUCUUCAAAGGUGACCUCAGUAUUGGUUUAAACUUUAUUUCACUUGAAUGAAAUAAAUAUCAUGUGGGAGUGAUCUGCCCAGAGCACUGCUCUGCUUAGAAAACUCUGCCUGGAGUAUUGCUUAAGUUAUAUUUCUGACUACAGGAUGAAUUAUUUGUGAUGUAUCAACCGAAACAGGAAACAGCAAACCAUGGCUAGUGGCUGUUUAAAACUAAGGUGGGAAAUCUGAAGUGUGUGUGCGUGUGUGUGCGGUGUCCCACACCAUAGAGCCUGCUUCAUCCUUAUCCAGGUACAGAAUUGGGACAGCUGAGGCUGAAGAUACAAAUUUGUGUGAUUUCUGGUCCCAGCAUGAUCUCACCCAAAUUCUCUCAUUCCAUUCUUCUACCCUCACUGAAGUAAAGCUAAUUUUCUGAUCUUCCCCAGAUCUCACUGGGGAUAGUUCUAAACCAAAUUGAGAAGCAGACCCCAACAGUAGCCUGUCUUUCCCCACCAUACAGUACAUCUCCUGCCUGUCCCUGGGGAAGCACCUGUUGGCCCCAGUUCCAGCCAGUCUUUGCCAAGGUGCUGUUACUGUCUCGUGACUGUUGGUCAUGUGUGAUGGUAGUUGGGGUUCAUUAGUCUAUUGGGAGAAACUUAGAACUGUUGGGCCGGUGACCUAAUGGUGCUGGUAAAAUUAUCCUAGAAAGUCAUCCACCCUCAUCCAUGGAGAAUGCAUCAAGACCCCAGUGGAUGGCUGAAACCCUGGAUGUUAUGGAAGCCUACAUUCUUAUGUACAUUCCUAUGGUCAAAUUUAAUUUAUAUAUUAGGCACAGUGAGAGAUUAACAAACAACAGCUACUAAUGAAAUAGAGAAAACUGUAACUAUAGACUGUAACAAAAAUAUUUAAAGCUUAAGAAUUAUUUCGGAAAUGUUUCAUUUAGUAUUGUCUGACUGGUUGACGGCGGAUAACUGAAGCCAUGGAAGGUGAAACUGCAUUGAGGGGCAGUGCUGCUCAGUGUUUGAUUUGGGAGGAACCUGAGGAGUACCUGUUCCCACUCUUUGUUUUCCUACACCAGUUGCCUGACCUUGGGUUGAGUACGCAAGUCCCAUCCACACUGUGCCCCUAACCCCCGUUUGUACGUGUACCACUAUAGCAUCUUGCUUUUCCCUUAAAGACUCAAAGGAACAAACUCACCGGGAGCAAAGAAGAAGGUGGGAUUCAUGCUUUUAGGAAGGGAGUUCUUCUAAUAUCAACUUCUCCGCCUGGCCAUGGGAUCACCUCCAUCAAUUCUCAGUAAAACUGCGGCUGCGAUAUUCCAGAAAUGCUAGAUGUGUGAUUAUGGGUUGGAGUUGAAGUUACCUAGGGGUUAAUUUUUAGACUUCAUUUUUGUCUCCAACACUGAAUUUAUUGUCAACUCUUUUCAAUAUGUCUAUGAUAACUUUUGAGCUCUCGUUUUGGAAUCUUCAGAGAGCUGUCCAUCUGGGCCCCCAUGAGAGUGGAUUUAGACUUGCAGGAGACAUGGGCUUGAGGGAUCUGACGAUAUCUCUAGGGACCCCUGAACACCUGCCAGACACUGCUCGUUUUAAGUAAGUCAGAGAUUCAAACUUAUUUUUCUAAUGUUUUGUUUCUUUCUAUUAAAAGCUUUUCCUAAAAUCUCAAUUUUGAGAGGAAUCUGAUUAGUUAGAAAGUCUUUUUUUUUUUUGCAAAUUGAAAUGCAAGUCAAAAGAAAUACUGAUUGGGCUGGGGAUUUAGCUCAGUGGUUCCGCUGCCUGCCUCACAAAUGCAAGGUCCUGAGUUCAAUUCCCAGUACCAAAAAAAAAAAAAAAAAAAAGAAAAAGAAAGAAAGAAAGAAAGAAAAGAAAACAAAUUCAUAUUGACUUCUAGUAUGAAUUAAAGUAGAAAACCAAAAUUGUCCUGUUUACAAAACAUUCCCAUGAAUAAGUUCCACUUCACUGUUUUUAGAAGGAGGUUUUAGAGGUUUUAAUUUGCUGGAAACACCACUUGGCAUCUCUCCAGAGAAACGUGACCCAGCAGUAGAUCUCUUUAUUUAUGUUGAGGUUGCUUUUUCCAUGUGAGAUUUUCAGAUGCUGCAAAAAAUACCAUGUCCUCUAAACUUAUCAAUAAUGGCAAGGUGCAGCCUGAAGGGAACCCAGAAAUCUGAAAACAGAUUUCAGAGGUAGCACAGACAAUGUGGAAGCUGUGUCAGUGCAGUUGUUAGAAGUCAGGUGCAGAAGGAGCUCUGGGCUUCCUACCAGCAUUGGCCACUGAAAAGCCACACAUGGCAGCUGCCUGAUGAAAGCAAAGCCACCAUUCGAUGGCCAUUUCCCGCUAGUCAAACAGGAGGAUAGUUUUUUUCAAGGGCUCCUUUUUGGGGAUGCUGAGGGGGAUAUGGAGAUUGAUCCCAGGUCCUUCACACUGAGCAACAUCCACAGCCCUCCUUUAUUUAUUUUUAUUUUUUGAGACAAGGUCUUGCUAAAUUCCCCAGAUGGGGCUCAAACUGAUGAUCCUCCUACUUCAGCCUCCCAGAGUGCUAGGAUUACAACUCUCAAGUGUUGGAGGAAAAAUGAAGAAGGCAGGUGCAAUGUGAUACAACAAAUUAAUGGGUGAUGUGCUUGAUCACAUCCCUGUAAUCAGAAAAUUUUAUACAGCUCUACUUAGAAUGUACCUUGAACCCUACUGACUGACAGUAGUUAAAUAUGAUCCAGGAAGAGUGACUCAAGGGCAUAAGAACUCCAGAUAAUGGUGUGAAAGUCCCUCCUGCCUGUGUUCUACCUUACUACAAGACUUGGGGAAAGUAUCCUUUCCUUCUAGAAGCCUUUGACAGGCUCAGGCUUUGGCCAACCCAGCAGCUUCCAAGCCUUAAGAUCCUCUGUGCCUGAGCUAUUCCUCUGCUUGGCAGUGUAAGGAACACUGGUCAGGUAGAGAGAGGUCUCUCUGGAUGAUAGGUCACAUUCCACCACCACUGAGAUUCUCCCUUGCAGUGUCUGGCUGCCACUCAGGUCCUGGCACCCAGAAGGCCCUUGGACGGUUGCCUUGGACAAGUGCAACAGUCCUUGUUUGGGGCCCUUGGGGACCACAGUCAUCAAAUCACCAUUCAAAAGAUACUCUGAUUGGAGCACAUAUCAUGAAGGUAGGAAAACCCAAUCCCACUGAGAAGUGGCAAAUGUCUACUUUUAGGAGAUGUGAUCCAAAAAUAUGGUUAGUGUUUAAAUUUGUUAUAGUAAAGAAUAUAUUGCCAUAAAUCCCACUCAAAAUACACUCCCUCAGUUUGAACACACUUGUCCCAUUGUUAUUGCCUCUUUCUGAAGCAGUUCUGGAAGUUCUCUUUCAUGAGUAGCUGCCUCAAUGUCCUGAAUUGAUUCAAAAUGUUGCCCUUCCCUGAUCAUUUUUUACUUUGGGGAGGAAUCAGAAGUCAUAUGGUGACAGAUCCAGUGGAUGGUGGAUGGUGGAUGAGGACACAUUGUCAUGUUUUUAUAAGCCUGCCUCUCUGUUAGAUGCCACUUGGCAGCAGCAUUCACUGUAUUUUUUUAAAUCAUACUUUAAAACACUCAUGAAAGAGGACUUCUGAAGCCACUUCAAAAAGUGUCAAUAAUGAUGGAAUAAGUGUGUUCUAAGCAAGGGGAGUAUUUUAAGGGAGAUUUAUGGUAAUGUUUCUUUUACUGUAAUAUAUUUUAAAAUUUAUUUAUUCACUGUAUAGUUUGAUCACUGCUUAUAUUUCACAUGCUACUGGCUCAAACAAAUAAAUGAUUUUCUCAGAAUAAAAUGUAUUGUUUUAUGUUUGAACACUUAAGAGAAAAUUAUGUCAUUAAUGUUUUUGCUAGAUAACCAGUUCCUCCCAUCUUAGAGUGAUGUAGAGAAGCCAUGGCAAUUUCUACCUAUCUUUCAUUGUUCAGUCCAUGGAUUCCUCCCUGUCAGGCUGGACUGGGUGACAGUCAUGCCCCUUGGGUCCCCAGAUGUGGUCUUAGGUCUUAUUGUCCUCUUGGGUAACUUCUUUCUGAGAUUUUUGAAUAACUUUUACGUUGUCAAGUUUUUAAAUCAUUCUCAACAGAUAACUUGCAAAUAAUCUGCAAAGGACAAAAAAGUAAUUUAAUGCCAAGAGUAAUACAUAAAAUAACCAAAACGAAUGACAUGGUAUUAUGAAAUUUGGUUUUCAAAAAUUGUCCUACAACUAAAGGAACCGAUUGUGUUUAUGCAUUGCAUGUAAGUGUUCAGUUCCUUUUGGAAUCUCUUAAUGAACAAAAGUGCCCUCAACCAUGGAGGGUCAUUGAAAUAAGUUAAGUGAUAAGGUAAUUUUUGUGGCAAGCACUAUUCCCUUUAAAUUUAAAAAAAUUGGCAUGCCUUUCUCAUGUCUGUCAGCACCUGUCCAUGAAGCUAUGUGAACGACUUCUGUGGGAGGUCCAAUGCUGGACCUACUCAGCAUUCAUUGCAAGCACAUGGCAGUGGAGGCCAGGUUCCCAUCAUGGAAGCUAUGGCGUGGUCCUUCCCAUUUAGACUGAAGGGCAUGGAAUGAAGCUCAGCCUCAUGCGGAACCCACCUAGCUACCUUGCCAGCCCAGCACCAGUGUGGCUACUCCUUUCAUCUGUCUUGGGUACAGCCAGUGUGACUCCAGAGCUCUCCUGACCCUAGACUAAGCUGUGAGUCUGGUUAGUCUAUUAUAAUCUUAAAAAGCCAUCUCCCAUGAUCUCUAGACCUUCAGUAUAGUCUUGUUUACCUGUUUAACGAGCAAACAAAGCAGUGUAUAAGCUAGUUUCACUUAAUGCCUUCUCUAAGCUAGGCAUUCAGUUGGUGAUCACUGAAGGCUUGCUUUCUUGAUCCCAGCUGAUUUCCCUGAAUAAAGAUCUUUUUUCUUCUGAGUAGGAAGGUGGGCAUCACACACACACACCUGUUUUAUAUUCGGACUAGCUGAUCAUGCUCAUUUAUAUACAUCUUUUCCCUUAUCUUACGUACCACAAAAUUAAGGUAGCUGACAAUCAGCUAAGGCAAAUGCAUUUAUCAAACAUCCAACAACAGUUACUAGACAUCCACUACAGACAGCAUGUCUGAUGCUGGGCAUGCUACUCACAUAUUAAUAAAGGGAGAGAAAAUAUAAACAAGGAAGUGCUUGUCGGGGUGAUGAGUGAUGCGGGGGAGGAAAGGAAGGGAAGGAGUGAUGGAGAGUGUUUAUUUCAGAAAUCGAGGUCACAGAAGGCCGCUCUGAUAGAGCAACAGGGAGGAGCUGAGUGAGGAAGACUGGUACCCUGAGGACAUCUCAGCAGGGACGCCAGCAUCCUGGGUUGGUGCUGCUCUGCCACCAAGGCACAAGACGUGCAAGGUGGAACUGGGAACCACCUCACCUAACAUCCUUCAUUGCAGUUUAGCAAGUGAAGCCAAGAAGCAUUAUAGGUCCAUGUUCUGCAGCACAAAGACAGAGUCCCUCUAGUUAGGAGGGGGAAAAGGUGACAAAGAAAACAUUAUGAGCUGAUGGUGCAAAGAAUUUGCAACAAUUGAAUAAAAUGCCCAAGAACAGCUGAAGGAUAAGUUCCUGAGUAUUCAAUCAAAUAGUCUAUAUUUAACUGCAUACUAGCAUAUGAUAUUAAUAUAAAAAGCAUUUGUUCUUCUUAGCAGCCAGUGAUCCAGGUCACAUUCUUAGUCCUUUGAUGGUAGAAAAAUAUACCAGGGAAACUGUCGUCUCAAAUUCUUAAAUGCAGUUACUGCCUGGGGACCAGGAUGCUGAUAAAUGUUUGGACAUUUCCUGUAACCACCUUACUCUGACUUUAGUGCCCAGGGAGAGUGACAGCAAGCUGUGAUAAUGGGUCUGCGACAGGAGGCAGAGAGAACACUGCAACCAACUAAGAAACUCACUCCCUUGAGGUGAGACAGGAAGUGAUGAUGUUAUUCUCUCAGUAGUAGUCACAGUUGUUGGACCAUCACCCUGUAAUUCCAAUGUGCCCACCACCCUGUGUCCUACUACAGCUUUCCUGGAAGUUGGUCUUUGCAGAGUUGUCUACCUUUCUCUUUCUCUUAGCACUGUGAAGAUGUGACACCUUUCAUUACAACCCUGCCACAAUCAAUUGCACUGUAUUUUUUGAGGACAAUGGAAUCCCAUUCAUAGAGAGUCAUCUGUGCCUCUGCUUUAUCAGGGUCAUCUUCUGCUAAUUAACUUAGCAAUUGUAGGGAGCUGGCAGAAUGGAAACCAAGAAGCCUGUGUGAGCUGCUAAGUUACUGCAUGUGGCACAUGACUGAUUCUGUCUGUAGAAGAGUUCAGCCUCAUUCAAGCCAUGGAACCUAUGAUGGUGGCCACCACGUCACCCAGUGCAAUGUGAGUGGCCCACCCCUCCUCAGAAGGAAGAUCUGACACCCUAGGAGUCCACAUUAGCCCAGGGUCAGGCUGCAGCAUUUUGAGGCGUGGCGAGACCUUCUCAAAUGCUGUCACUGCUUUUGCCUUGUGGGAAGGAAUGGAGUUUCUUAGGCUGGGCUUCAGCUUACUGAGUUUGUGCAAAUUCCAGAUUGAAAAUGAAUUCCCUGAGGUCAUCUGGACUUCACCUUGUAAUAGGCAUCAGAAACCUGCCGUCUAUAUAAUUGCUGGCUCUCUAUGAAACUUACUUCUAUUAUCUUAUUCAUUCACUGGGCCCCUCUCCCCCCAAAUCACAAAGCCUCUGCUCCCUUUGGAUGCUCACUGACUUUGGACAUGUCUGACUGUGCAGCUUUUCCAAACUGUGUUCUGUGCAAUAGGUUAGGGUCAGGAUGAAGGGCAACUCCUUAACGUAUAGGCAGGGCCUGUUUUUAUAGCAUAGUUCUAGCUUACUUAGUAUUUUUCUUCAAUUUUGGCUUGGCUGGAGAAACAAGGUUAAUAUACAUGAAACAAUCCUCAGCUCUCCCAAGGCAGAACAUGUAUAGAAGACAGGAAAAUAAGACCAGCUUUGCCUUGUAGUGUUUACCAUACAUUAUGCAUUAAGCAUUUAUCACUUAAGUGGAUGGGGAAAUGAAUAGGUUCUGGGUGUGAUAAUAUUUCCUUUGUGCACAAACAUAUUUUAUGACUGUCAAAAGCAGGAGAAAAAUUACCAAAUAACCUCAACACUGUUUCAGAGACACAAAAUAUUUUGACAUUUUCAUUUCAAAUAAAAAUGCUGGAGAACAUUUUCCCCCAAAGCCAGAAAUCUUGGAGCAGAAAUCAGAGAAGACCUGGUGGUUCCCUGUUACUUCUCAGUGAUUAGGUGUCAUGCACAUCUGAAGUGGCCUUGGUCACCUGUGAGCAGACAAAAGUGGAGUUGGAGGUGACAGGGCCUCCUCAGCCACUGACAUGAGAGGGCUGAUGCAGUGAAGCCCUGGAGUGUAGUCCGUAGGGAGGGGCCCCCAAUCUCAUGUGGGCAAGAAGGCACACCCCCUGGACACCCAGUGCCAAGGACCCCAUGCCCUUGGCACAGGCAGCCUGAAGGCAGAAGCUCCAUCCUGACCUUGGGAGAGCCAGGCUUCCUGACCUUGAGAAGGUGCUUUGAUCAGGCACAUUCACCUGUAAUCAGAAGAGUUUGGAAGAAGAGGAGAAACAGUAGCAACAGCUACUGGUACUUACUCUGUCCUGGGUACUGGUACAGCUGCUCUGUCCUGGGUACUUACUCUGUCAGGUGUUCACUCCUGCAGUUAGGGUCCCAGGUGCUGACCUAUGCUGCCACACUGUGUUCCUGUCACCUGUGGCAGGAGGCCAGGCCACCAGUGUCUUCCUAGAGUGUAUGAGACCUGCCCCUUCACUUCCACUUCUACUUUCCCCCUGUAGUGGCCCAGAUUCCCUGCAGGCUAAAACAGGAGUCCUGAAAGAGUUCAGUCUUCAUCUCCAAGGCUCCUCAGUCAUGAUUUUGAGAGCACAGGAGGCCACUCAGUCAACUUAGAGAAUGCUUUCUUCACACACCAAGAGGAUGAUUGAAUGGCCUUGUGAAUCUUACAGUUCUUCCAGGCCUGGAUCAAUGAGCCAUCAAUUAUUGCCAUAUUACAUCUUGUGAAGAUCUUGAGGAGAGGGUGGAGCCCUAUGAUGUUGUUCAAACUGAGUCCAGUAUACAAACCCAACACAGCAAGUCUGCCCAGUGGGGGUCAGGCUAUGGGACCUCCAACCCAUUCCUACUUCUAAAUAAUGGUUUAUCUUUCUUUUUGGUAAUCAAAUGACAUUAAACAUUCUUAAAGGUUGGUUUUUAUUCUAAGUAUAACUGUAGACCACUGAUAGGCAAAAAUCCUGUAUGUGACAUUUUAAAGUAAACGGAAGAAGGACCCCAUGAUUCCCUGGGUGUGGUUGCAGCAGGUCUUAUGAUGGUUCCUGCUUUUCACUGGAGCCCAUAGGAACAUGGCAGCUGUUAGCAAUGGAGGAUUUAAUGUCUUCCUGAACUGCUGGUUAUAUCAUCUAUGCUACCGUUUGGUAUUUACUCUUUAUAUAUUUGUGUUAUACAUUGUUUGUUGGUCUGUGAUUUCAACAUUGCUGCUAUACCAACUUUUUAUAUAUUUCUGAAUUUAACAAUAUUUUAAGUUUAAAAAUGCAGUUGAGGUAUUAACUUUGGCUGUAUAAAAAGAAAUGGGCCAGGUAUGGUGGUACAUGCCUGUUGGGAGGCUGAGACAGGAGAAUCGCAAGUUCAACCCCAGCUUGGGUAACUUAGUGAGUUAAAGAGACCCGGUCUCAUAAUUAAACAUAAAAAAGGCUAAGAAAUGUAGCUCAGUGCAAAGUCACUGAGUUCAAUUCCUAAUACUGCAAAGAAGGAAGAGGAGGAGAAAAAGGAAUGGGAGGAGGAGGAGGUGGUACAUAGAUGGCGGGUAGCCAGGGUGAAUCAGUGCAUGUAUGCAGCCUUCCCGCCUUGGAGGUGUUUCUGCAUCCUAGGAAGAUGAGCCCUGGCUGCUUUUCUGGCCUCUAACCUGCUUACUCCUAGGUGGGGUAGGAAGCUGUCUCUGUGAGCGAGUUUAUAUAUAAUAAAAGCCAGACUUGACUCCACACUUCUCUUUUGUAGAGCUGCUCCGGGGCCAGGAGAGGUCUGAAUCACUCCACCCUAGCCCUGGAGGCUAAAAGCUUUCUAAAACACAGGGAUUCCUGGAGGACCUGGCCUUGUUCCAUUCCUCACUGAGAUGCCUGUCUCUGGCACAAUACAGAGGGUAUAGUAGGUGUCCUCUAGUAUUGUGCAAUCUCUAGUAGUUUGGUGUGUUAUUUUUUAGGGAGCUCAAAUAGGAGAUGAGACAUGGAGGAUCUAGGAGAACAGAAUCAGCUUGUGGAACAGAAACUGUCACUUGGUGGGAAUAGGAGGCCCUGAGAGAAGGAGGGAUGCUGAGGUCAACUGUCAGGGUCUUUCUUGCAGGAAGUACAUGCAGGAAGGGUGACAGGAUUGUCCCAUGGUGUCUUCUCUGCUGUGCAGCCAGAGAACAGCAGGGGAAGUUCGACUGGAAUUGCUGCUGACUGCUGUGAUUUGGACAUCAUUUGUGCCUCAUGGGCUUGUGUGUUGGAGGCUUGAUGAGAGAUGGUGAGAUCUUCAAAGGCGGAGGAGUUCUCAUGGAAGGUGGUUGGGUCAUGGGGAUGCUGUGCUUGGAAGGGAUUAAGGUAGUUUUCAUGCAGCCCAAGUGAGUGUGUGGUUAUAAAAAGUGAGCCUGACCCUUAGAUCACUCUCUGCCCUCUCUUUCCGUGGUGUGUCAUCUUUGUCUUGUAUGAACUCCUGCCAUGAUGAGCUCCUCCAUGAUUUGACAAAACCCAGAGGGCCUCAGCAGAGCUGAACCCAUGGAGUCCACGAUUUUGGACUUUAAGCCUCUAAAAUCAAAAGCUAAAUAAACCUUUUUAAUUUAUAAAAUACCCAGCCUAAAGUAUUUUUAAUAAAAAUGGAAAACAACCAAUACAAUAACAGACCCUUUAAGGGAGAAAUAUGGAGGACUAGGAAACUCUAGCCCUGCCCCUGACUUAGCUCUGGCGAAAUCAGCUUCCAUCUUUCUAUUUUGGAAAUGUCAAGAUAGCAUCUCUCAUGGCUUCUCAGAGGAAGUUCAGGCUAAAGCAGGACAUUCAGAAGUGAAGAAAGAAAAAGGAAAUGGAGAAAAGCAAAGAAGGUGUGAUUUCUCAGACUAACUUUUAAGAAAUUACACAAGUGUUUAUGUGAUUUUGAGAUCCUCUGAGCUUAGGUCACAAGUGCAGGGCAAGGUCCUAGUGAACUGCUUGCUCAGUCUCACUGUGAGUGAACGAAGAACUCCUUACUAAGCACUCUCGUGGCUGUGGGGCAGCAUCCAAAAUGACUGCUUAGAGCUCACAAAUCUUUACUAAUAUGUGUGUCCCAGAUAACAAGAUUUAAAGAAAAAAAUUAAACCUGUGUGGGGCUAGGGUUUCAAACAAUGAGGAACGCUUUGAGAACAAAAUCAGUAUUGCAUCCAUUUAGCCAUGCUCAAAAUCAAUGUAUAUUUGAUAAAUGCUGAGCUUGUCUGGCAUUUUUCUGACACGGAAUGCUGUGUUUCUUUCAGAACAUCUUUGCUGGGUACAGUAUUUCUGUGCAAGCACCUGCCAGUACUCAGUGGCUUAGCACAAUGUUGUUUGGCUAAGAUCGUAGCACCCUGGGCUUAGCAAAGCAUGGCCAUAUUGCAGCAUGGGUCAACUCAUUGACUGGCUUGGUCUUGCCUGGGUGUCUGUGUGUCUCUCCUCUUCCUCCUGGAGCAGGAGCAUGGUUUUUGCCUGACCAGGAUGGAUGUGCAACUUUUGGAAACCAAGACACAGAACAGGUCUGCUGCCCCUUCCCCUUUGUUCUGUUGCUUCAUGCAAGUCUGGGGGCCAUGAAAUGGGACAUACGCUCCAUUCCUUGUGUGGGGACAGCUGCAAUGUCCCAGGGACUGUGGAGGAAGGGAGGAGAAAAGGGGAAGAAUUGAGAAUGUAGUGCAAGUGGCCACAUUGAGGCUGGUCUUGAGCUCUUAUUGUUGCUAUCCAUGCUCCCUGAAGUGCCCAGAAAUCCAUCAAAUGACAACUGCCAUGGGGGCCUGCAGGAGUUGCUAUGAUUCUCCCUGUCUUUACUGGUUUUCUCAUUCUCAAAGAGGUUAAGAUGCCUGGAUUGGUGGACAGGUUUUCUUCUUGGAAUUCUUUUCUGUCAUCAGUAAAUCAAUCUACUUUUGCUGAGAGCAGCCAGAUGAGAAGCCUCCCUAGCUCAUGAGCACACAAGGCAGAGGAGGAUGCACAGUUGCAAGGGAGUGGGAAGAACUUUGAACACCCAAGUGACAGAAGGUAGAUGUGUUGAGGGAGGGUGUUGUGUGGAGUCUUUGUUUAUGAGUAGGGGUAAAUACACAAAGUUCAAAGAGUCCUCCCAGUCAUGAAUGGUAAAGGAAAGGAACUCAGUGUCAAGGGUUUGGGCUUGAAUGCAGAAAAUAAAAAAUUGCAAGUGCAAGUUUCCUGAGGCUUUGGUUACGGAUGUUGAUUUGCUGUGUAGGAAACAGUGAUAAAUUACAGUCGUCCAAACUCUGAGCUGUUUGGGAGAGCAUUUCCCUGUGCAUGUGGAAGCCCCACAGAGCAGAAGUCAUUUCUCAUCUUUGUAAUGUCACCUGGAGUCCCACCCAUGAGCAGCAGAGGGCUCAGGUGACUGUGGUUUAUGGGGAGAACUUUAUACAACUUUCCAUUGUUCCAAACAUUGUGGUUUCACUUCACAGACAAAGAACUAAUGCCCUCCUAGAGACUAACGCUCCCACACACCAGUCUCCUGUAAUACUAUAAUUGUUAACAGUUUCAAAAAUGCUCAUGAUGCUCUUUUAUAGCUCAAGAUGUUACUGCCUUAUGUGUUUUUCUGUGUUCAUCGUUUAAAAAAUGAGAUACAACCAGACCUGAAAAAAACUUUUUUAAAAAUUAUAUUGGUACAUUUAAGGUAUACAAUAUAAUGACACAUUCAUCAUUGGAAAUUUGUACCUUUACAUACUCCAUCUUGGUUCUUAUUUUUUCCCCCUUCCCCUGCCCUCCCUUCAACCCUUCCAUCCCUCCAUAUCUACAAAGACUUUGUUUCCAUUUUUUCUUUUUCUCAUAUAAUUCCAUUCCCUUCUUUCUUCUCCCCUACCCCUCCCAUUUCCCCGUCCCCUUUGCCUCUUUUCUUCCUAUUUCACAUUAUCUAUUAUACCUUUUAGUCCUUCGUUAUGCUUUCAGUUACUCACACUAGAGAAACUAUUCAGUAUUUACACAUGUGUGUCUUAUUUAUUUCACUUAAGAGUGUCACCUCAAUGUUCAUCCAUUUAGCUAUAAAUGUCUCUAGUUUCUCAUUCUUUAUGGCUGAGUAAUACUCUAUUUUAUUUUAAAAAACACACAUUUUCUUUAUCCAGUCUCCAAUUGAUGGGCAUUUGGGCUGCUUCCAAGUUUUAGCUAUUACAAAUUGUGCUGCUAUGAACAUGGGUGCACAUAUAUCACCUUGGUAUGAUGAUAUGAUGCUUUUAAUUCAUUGGGGAAGAUACCCAGCAGGGGAAUAGCUGAGUCAAAUGGGACUUCCAAUCCUAGUUCUUUGAGGUAUCUCCAUACUGAUUUCCACAGUGCUUGCACCAGUCUACACUCCCACCAGCAGUGGAGCAGUGUUCAUUUUUCCCUACAGCCCCGCCAGCAUUUGUUAUUGGUUGAUUUCUUGAUAGCAGGCAUUCUUUCUGGGGUGAGGUGGAAUCUCAGUGUUGUUUUCAUUUGUAUCUCUUGAAUGACCAGUGAUGUUGAACAUUUUUUCAUAUGUUUAUUUGCUAUUUCUACUUCUUUGUCUGAGAAAUGUCUCUUCAUUUCAGUUGCCCAUUUUUGGAUUGGGUCUUUAAAUUUGGGAGGUCUGAUCUUUUUAAGUUCUUUAUAGAUUCGAGAUAGUAGACCUUUGUCUGAGGAAGAGCAGGUGAAGAUGUUUUCCCACAUUGUGGGUUGUCUCUUCACACUGCUGGUGGUUUCUCUUUCUGUGCAGAAGCUUCUUAAUAAGAAGAGAUCCCACUUGUUGAUUGUUUGUGCUAGUUCAUGGGCAACUGAGGUUUUGUUCAUAAAAUCUUUUCCUACACCGAUGUCUUGAAAUACAUCACUCUACACUCUUCUUGCCUUGUGGGUUUGCAUUGAGAAGUCUCCUGUGAUUCUGAUGGGCUUUCUGUUGUAUGUGAUUUGUUUCUUUUCUCUAACUGCUUGUAGAAUUUUGUUCUUCUGUUGGGUUUCUAGAAUCUUAACUAUUAUCUGCCUAUGUGUAGAUUGUUUUUUUGAUCAUGGCUAUUUGGAGUCCUAUAUGCCUCAUUUAUCUCUAUGUCAAGUUCUUUCCCCCAGUUGGGAAUUUUUCUGCCAUUACUUCUGUGAACAGUUUUUUAUGUCAUCUGCACGCUCUCCUAUUUCUUCCUUGACUCCAAUCACUCUGAUGUUAUUCUUCUUUGAAUCAUGUAGCAGCUGCUGGAUUGAUUUCUUGUGGUCCCUUACUAUUUUUAAGGAAUUUUUCUUUUCCUGGUCACUAAUUGCAAUCCUAUCUUCUAUAUCUGAAAUUCUAUCCUUGCAUUGGCUCAUUCUGUUGCAUAAACUUUCAAUGGAGUUUUUAAUCUCCUGGAAAUCUGUUUGCAUCUGUUUUAUGGAUUCCAUUUGUUUCCUAUGUUCAGAUUCCAAUAUAUUCCUCAGCUCCUUUAUUUUUUUAUCUGUGUCCACUCUAGAUUUAUGUCACAUCUUAUACUAUAGGCACAAUCUCUGCUGUUAUCUGAGAAAUUAUUUCUGAUUUCAUUUUUUCCAGGUUCCCUUUUUUUGCCAGUUCAGUGGGUCCAGAUGGUUGAGUAUCAGAUUGUUCCAUCUUGUUGCACUUUGGGGUUCCCUUAGGUGAUCUGGAAGUCUGAUUUGGGUACUUAUUUAUGAGUCUUUUUGUUUCAGCAGAUGCAGCCUGCUAUGUCUUUGUUGAGGCAACUUUUUGCCCACCUAGUGGUCUUGAAUUCUCAGCAAGCCACGGAGCAGCCUUUACUCUGUUGGUCACCAGUGCACCAAUUCCUGGGUUCAGAGUGGUGGCCUCCUAGAUCCCUGAGCUGAUCUGUUGUCUGGGAAGGCUUCUUGCUGGGGCCUGAGCACACUUGGGAUGGUAACUUCUCAUGCCUUUCUCUGUGGCCCCUAUGUAUCUAUUGUCUGGGAGGGCCUUUGGUUGGGGGAUGUGCACCCCAGUUUCUGUUGUCUGCACAGGCUUUGGCUAGGGUCUCCUUGCACUUAUCAAUGGUAUUGGGGAGCACCACCGGGUAUUGCUUGUGUGCCUGCACAGCUUUUCUCCAGGUGGGUCCCUGACUGUGGCCAAUGGUGUGGCUAGCCUCUGGCUGAAAUCCAUGUGGCCCUGCAGCCCCUUUCUGGGCAGGCCUUUGGCUUAGGUGGGUGUGCUUGAGCCUCUGGUGUCAGGGAAGAGGCCUGGCUGAGAUCCUCCUGCAGUCACACUGGUCUGGGCCACACAGGUGCUCUCCAGGAUCUGCACGUACUCACCAAUGGAAUGGCGGGCCUCUGGCAGGAACCAGCUUGUAGGUGUAGCUUCUCUCUGGGCAGGCUCCUGGCCUGGGUGAGGGGCGGUGAGCCUCUGGUGUAGGGGUGUACCCCCAGCUGGGAAUCCUCCUGUGGCCACACAGGUCUGGCUCGUACAGCUGCUCCCCGGGAUCUGGAUGCACUCACCAAUGGAAUGGUGGACCUCCAGUGGGAGCCCAUGUGCCAGUGCAGCUCCAAAAAUUAACUUUAUUGAUCUGUACAGUUUUCACUAUUUCUCAGUACUGAGUAUUUCUUAAUUUCUUUUAUGGAUUCCUUUGUAAAGGUUGAUAUUAAACUACUAAAUAAAUGAGAACAUGUAGUCUAAAAACAGGAACUUUAUUCCAUGUCAUAUGAAAAGCAAUGUUAAACUGAAGGAAAUUCUUACUCUCCAAGUGUGUACACUUGCAAAUAAUUGGAAGAAGCUGAGAUGAUCAUAAAAGGCUUCUUUUUUCCAUUUUCACUUUGGAGAUAUUUAAUCACAAUUCCUUUCCAAGAAAAUACCUAAUUUGGUCAGACUGUGAUACAGUGUUGCUCCUUAUGGAAUAGUGUAAGACUGCUGCCUGGGCCAUCAAAGAAGUAGGCCGGCUCUGUCAGGCCUCAGUGGUCUACCUGGCUUCACCGGGGUAUUGGGUUGAUGAAUUCUAGUUGAUUCUACCAGUUCUGAUUGGUACUCAACAGUCAAAGGCCAAAUAUUGUGAUGGUUAGUUCUUGUGGUCUGAUCUUAAGACCCAACUUUCAAGAAUAUGGAAAGAGAUUGCCAUGGAAGGAUGGAGACACACAUCAUUUGCAGUGAUCAGUACCUGGUCUGGAAAAGUUUCAGGCUGAGAGAAGGUAGAAAGGCUGGACAAGGGAGAGCAGGAGGGCAGCUGGAGGAGCCAAAGCAGGAAGGUUGCCCUGGAGGUGGUGGACUGGCAGGUGGGAGGCUCUCAGGUCCCAGGGUAUGGUUGCUCCUGGAUGGGCCAUGGACAGCUGCAGGGCUAGAGGAAGCCAGGCCUCAGGUAGCAGCUGCCAAAUGGAGACCUGGUUGAUGGUCAGUGUCAUGGAGUCCUAGGUGGGGUGCAGUGUUGAGGAAUUGCAUGUUUAAGCAUCUACACCACUCUUGGACCUAUGACAGUGCUGCACUGUUGAGAACAAAUAGUUGUUAACCACAGCAGGCUCACCAUCAUGCUGGGUGCACCCCUGGGUCUUUGGGUUCAGGGUCCUUGGGAUACCCAGUGAGGGUCAGUCUCAGUCCUAUCUGCUGGUUCCAGGAGGGUUUGGUUGUAGCAAGAGGGAAACUAAGUGGCUAGAGGCAGAAAUAGGUUUUGCUGUGGGGUCUAUUAUCCAUGAACUUUCCAGAGCAUUUCUGAAUGUCCACAGCUGAGCUCAGCUGCUAAAUUAAGCUGCCUUUGAUCAUCAAAGGAUAGCCUCUUCCACUGGCAAAUUGGAGGAUUGAGUGAUUCUAUCUGGGGGAGAGCACUGAGGCCUCAUGGCCUGAGAGAAUUCCCAGCUUUUCUCCAUAUUUGACCUGUCUGUGCUGUAUGCAGCUCCUCGCCAGAAACCCCAGACUGGAGUUUACCUACAUCAAGGGUCUGCUGUGAAAAUUAAAUGAGGAAUAGUUGUCCUCCCUUAGUGUCCUCCCUCAGUGUCCACUGGAGAUUGGUUCCAGGUCCCUCCUUAAAAUAGUGUACUAUUUGUGUGUACCCUAUCCAGACCCUCCCUACCUUUAAUUCAUCUCUUGAUGACUUAUAAUAGCCAAUGCAAUGUUGUUAUAUUGUCUUCCUUAGGGAAUAAUGGAAAGAAAAAUAUGUGUGCCUGUUCAGUAUACAAUAUUUUCUCCAAUAUUUUGGAUCUGCAUUUGGCUGAAUCUGCAGAUGUGGAAUUGCACAUCUGGGCACACUGUCAUCUCUGCAGGGAUCACCGGAGUGCCUGUCAUUUGGGGGGCCUCUGGAAUGAAUUUUUGUUAGAGUCACAAAUGGUCCUCUGGCAUGUGACCUCAGGUCUGCAGGUAUCCACUGGCACUGCUAAUGCCUGGCCCAGAUAACAGCUUGGCUGCUUCCCACGACAAGGGCUGUGUCCAGGCUUGCCCUGGCAGCUCACCUGAGAAGGUAUUCAGCUCUUCCUAAGUCCUGGAGUUUUAGGAGUUUUUAGGAGGCCCAGCACAGGGUUACCCCCUGGACCUGCCAGGACUACCAAUCUACGUGGAUUCCCAGAGGAGUGCUUGCGUGGUGCCCCCUGGUGGUGUGAGAUGGAGUUAACCACUUCAGAGGGAAGACCACCGCACACCUGUCCACUGAGCCCAGCUCUGGGCUUUUCCACUCAAAUUGGUGUAUCUUACAGCUUCUUGUAAAAUAAUUAAAUGUUCACAUCUGAAUGUAAGACAUUGCCAUCUGUGCCUUUUUUUUUUGUAGGGUGAUUUGAUAUUGAUGAUUGUGCUUUCCAAAGCUGGUUGUGCUUGAAAACCACAUGUACUGGGCACUCAAAUGUGCACUUCAGGGUCUUGUCCAGGUAAUCUGGGUCUGCAGGAGAACUCAUUGUCCAUGUUUAAACACUCACUCAGAUGAGCAACCAAGCAACAUGACUUCAAGUGUUUUUCUUGUGCUGGCUCUCAUGACAACCUGUAAGAGAGAACUGAGCAGAUGCUGCUGACCCCCUAAUAACAAGGAACAAGGGCUUAGAGUUAGGGUUUGUCUCAGGCCACAGUAUUAGUUUAUGUAUACUUAGGACUUCGCCAACACUCACCUUGGCUUAUUGGUUUCAGUGAUUGAGGCUCCUUGAGAAUGCAAUAGGCUUCUAAGACCAAAUCGCUUCUCCAGCUGGCAGCUCCUAAAUCUCAGUAGCUUAACCCUGGUGAGUAUAUUUCCACCGCACAGUCGAAUGCCAGCUGAUGGCUCCUGGGCGCCUCUCCAAGGGGUCCCCCAGGAUCUCUCCAGCUGGUUCUGUCCCCACUUCUCUGGACACUUCACUUCCAGCUGUGUGGGCAGAGAACAAGCACGGUGAUGUCAUGUCCAGCCUAGCACUGAUGGUCCUCACUGCUGCUCCCAUGCCCUCAGCCAGAACCCCAAACCAGGCGCACAGCUCCCCUGGAGGCAGGGGUCUGGGCCAUGUCACCUUCCAGCAUGUUUGGGAGAAAAUGGCUCUGUUUGCUGCCCACAUGCCGUAAUCCCUUCCUCUAUCCAUGACCUUAAGGUAAUGGCAUCUAAAAAGAAAGAACCUCCUUCACGCAAAGCUGGUGUUUCUCCUAACAUCACAGCAGUGAUCCAGCUAGGUAGUGGUUCCUCUCCUCAUUUUAUAAGGCUGAAAAAACCUGAGAUUCAGAGAAUUCCAGUGGCCUGCCAAAGGCCACACACCCUUUUUCAUGGAUGUAGCAUCAGAGGACUUCUAUUCAUUUUGCCCAAGUUCAAGGCAACAUCAUCUGCCUAUGCCAGCUACCCACAGGACCUGGAGCUAGAGAAAAGCUGGGACCAGGUGUUUUGCCUGCCAUUUUGGUGUUAUUUUUCCCAGGAGAAGCUAUUUUCUUGUUUAAGCAUGCUAUAUUACCCUGUGGGUGACAGGCAGGUUUAGGCAAGUUUUUGUUGAUUGGUUGAGAAGAGGCAAUUUUUGUAAAAGUUGUUGGAAACUUUUCCUGUUACCAUGCAGAAAUACAGAACUUUUUUAUGGACUUAAAUCUGCCCAUACCUCUCCUGAGGGCUUUCUCAUUGAGGGCCUCAGAGUCCAUCUUUCCCACAUCUACAAUUAACUACAAGUUCAGUAAUUAGGAAAGUUAUUUAUAACCCACAAGAGGACUUCUGCAAGUUAGCUUCCUCCCAGAAGAUCUCCCUGAUGUUCCAUCCACAACAUAUACCAGAUAUAUUUCAAAAAAGUCCCCCCCCCACAUAUCAAUGAGGACUUUUAGGGGAGUGAGUGGCUUGGGAAGGGCCAGACUUAACAGACUGUAUUUAUUCUCCCUGGUAGUAAUGCUGAUCCAAGUAGAGUUCAGCAGAGACCAGAUCCUCUGGGAGUUCACAGCCUGCAGGACACUCAGGGGGACCCACCUGUCAGCAGCAUAUGGUGGCCAUGGGGGCCUCUCUGCAGCUCCAGCCUGACCAGCCAGCUCAGGCCUCCAACCGUGAGCUCAUCUUUCUUGGAAGACAAACAGGGUUUACCCAGCACUCACCUUGGCCUUGACCUUCAAAGAUGGAGGCUCCAAAAGGAUGCUGAGGGCUUCAGGCCCUGUGUGAAUGAAUCUGCUGGACCCUUCCCCUCAGCUCUGUGGGAAGGAAACCAUAGUCCUGCUUGCUGACCUCCCGGUGAUAGGAUAGGAAGCAGGGGUCCUGACCACAGCUUGAGAGUGAUGAUGUACCCUCCCUUGUGUCCCAGCCGUGGCUCGUGUUCAAGGCUUUCAUGCCAGCUCAUUAAUUCCCGCUGUCCUUCCAGAGGGAAGAGCUCUCUGCUCUCUGCUGUUCCACUGGGCCCUGUGCCCUUACAGCAUGAAGUGGCUCUCCUGCCUCACCCUAAAACUGGCCUCCACCAGGAGAAGAUUUAAAGAUAUAAAACCACAGCAUGAAAACACCUGCAGAGGGAAACCAGGUAUUCAGACCCUCGAGGGCAAAUAAAACCUUCAUAAUUAAGCAUUUCAUCCAGCUCACUGCUGCUAUGUAAGGAAAUUCACGUCUCAGCAAAGUUCACUGGCCUGAAGUCACAGAGGUAAUUAGAGAGAUGAGAUGCAUUUCUGCUCCUGGAAGCCACUGUGCUGUGAGGCCCAGAUAGGAAGGGGUCUGCAGAAGAGGAAUCAUCUAUUUUCCUUCUCAGAUUUGUUUAGCAUUUUGACUUUUCCUGUGCUUAGCCCGUCUUGCCUCUGAGGAGCCAAUCCAACUUUGCUUGAACAAUGCUGGAUGUUUGCCUUCAGUCAAAAAGCCUCUAAAUAAAGAAUCUAAAUCAGCUUAAGUUCUCCAAAGUCUGUCUUUGCUUCCUACACCUUUCAGAAGCAGAAUGUAGCAAAUCUGCCUCAGCCAACAUGCACAUACAACUUUCAUCUGCGGUAUCAAGCAGGCAAUUUAUAGGCAGAUACAGCCAAAGUCCAAAGGGUCCUGGGGUGUUGUAGAAUCAAACAUGUUCCAAAAAACUCACUGCCCCCACCUGCUGUUCAAGUGUCAUCUGAAACAGUGGAAGUCAGAGCCAAACUCAUCAAUUAAACCACAAUCAUUUAUUUAUCAUAACACCUACCCCCUGUUGCUUCAAAUGAAUUUUCAUUAAUUAACGAGCCCAUCUCAUUACAUAUCAAUAUUUUAUUUUAAACUAGAAAAAACUCACAAGGCUAGGUUUCAUUCUCAAUGUCUACGUUCUCAUUGUGUCAAUUCAGAUGGCAGCUAAAGAUUGAAACAUACAGUAGUUCUCUCUUUGAUUCAUUUUUUAAAAUGGGCUUUUAUUUUUGUCAGUGAUGAAAAGGAGUACUUACUAUUGAAGUAGUUUGGAAAUUUUAUAAAACCUAACUGGGUGGCUGGAUUGGACUAUGCUAACAACAGGUGUACUUGAGCAAACUUGAGCCCAAUUCCAUUUGGUUCCUGGCCAAACCCCCCCCCCCAAACCCUUGAAGAAUGGUAUUUGGUUUUGAUUAUUCAAAUGUUGGUUCAUCUGGCUCCUGUCCUGGUCAGAGAUAGAGUUGGAGGAGGAAGCUGCAAGGGGCAAAGUGGAGUCAUGGAACAGGACAGCACGAUGUUCCCAGCACACCACCAAGGAUAUUUCCUGGUGCAGGUUGCUUGAGUCUCCAAUGCAUCACCAAGGGUCCAGGAGGUGCAGCCUGAGCAUGGCUGUGUGACCCAGCAGUGGCCUUGCGGGCUGAUCUGAUCACUUCCUGGGGUUGUCAACAGCUCUCCUCCCCUCUCCUCCUCCUUUCUCCUCCCUAAGGAGGAGCCCUGACAACAACCCUGGAGUAGCUCUGCUCCAUGGACUUUCAGUUGGAUCCCUGGGUUUCACUUGGGUGGGAAGAACAGUGGACAGACACCUGUCCUACUUUCCAACGAUGACAGAUGAAUGCUCCACUCCUGGCACCAGUAUGCUAAUAAGUGCUCAUCUCUGUGGCUGGUGCUUAUCAGCAUGCUCACUGCUUGAUUUGUGGUGUUUUGGACCAAUGCUGUGUGCUCUGUCAUUGGAUCAUUCCAUAGCACGGUAGGCAGCCAAAAUCUGAGUUAUCUCAAUGGGGGGGGCGUUAAAAAAAUGACUCAUUUUUAAGUGGGCUGUGAGUCCUAAAAAGAAAACACCUCAGUUCAUGAACUUGAAAAACUCAGAAAUGAUCAAAAUUUUAUACCUUUUCACUAAGAAUAUAUCUAAGAUAAGAGAUACUUAUUUUAUAUACUUUUUUUCUGCCAAAACUUUACUCUCUCAUUUAAGGCAAAUAUCUGUGUAGAAGUCUUUCAGUGUUGGUAACUAAGCCCAUCAAACAAACAAACAAAAAGUUUUUAAUCAAAAUGCUAUUCCCUAUGGUGAAUCUAAACAAUUUGCCAAAUGAGUUCUUGAGAUUAGUAGCAGAAAGUUUUGUGCUGGAAAGAACUUGGGUGGUGAUAUAACCCAGGCCUCAUUUCAUGGAUGACAGAUCAGGUUCAGAGAAGCAAACAUCAUAGAACCAGUAGGUUAGAGGGCUCAUCUUACAGCCUAUAGAUACUGAUUCCCAUGUUAACCACUUACCAAUCCAAUUAUUUAAAUGCAGGAUAACCAAAAAUUGCAUAUUUUUGUUAAUUUUAUAAGAUAAUAUAACAGGAAAUAUAAAAGCCACACUUUUAUCAAAUUUAUUCAAUACAAGAAUUGACUGGUUGAAAUGAGACCUGCCUGAGAAAUGUUCGGGAUAGUCAGUACAUAAACAAAUACAUUGGUGGAGCGAAACUAUUAAAUGGUCAACAUUCUUGUGAAGAAACCACAUAAAAUGAGAAUGAUAAUGCCAAAAACAGCCAUCACCAAACACUUUCCUAUACAAUAUCUUACUAAUUUAUAACAAAAGGACAAAAUAGAUGUUACCAUCUCCAUCUUACAGAUGGUAAAACUCAACUCAGUAACAUUGCCACUUUCCUAGGUCAUAAAGAAGAGAGUAUUUGGGCCAGGCUUAGACCAUAGAAUGGUCGAAACCAAGCAACCAUUUCUUUUUUUACUAUGGUACUUCAGUUAAUGAACUCAAUUCUCCUUAUGAUUAUAGUCUCAAACCGAGCUGGGUGAGAACCAAAUUAAUUUCCCUAUAAGUCAACAUUGAACCUAAACAAACCAAAUAGAAAUUAUAGAACUCAAAAAUACAAUAACUGAGUGGAGAAAGCAAAUUUAAAUAAGAUGUUGGUUUAAGUAAUUGCUUCUUACAUAUGAUACCAAAAGCACACACACAAAAAAAAAAAUACAUGAAUAGGUUUCAUCAAAAUAAAGCUGUUUGUGCACCAAAGAACAUGAACAAGGAAGUGAAAAGAGAACACACAGAAUGUGACAUAACUUUUGUAAAUCCUAUAUCUGACCAGAGAAUUGUAUUUAGAAUAUGUAAAGAAUACGAUAUCACUCAAUAAUACAAAGACAAAUGACCCAAUUGAAAAUAGGAGGCAUUGUGUAUAUCUUUUCAUUUGAAUCAUUGAACAGUUCAUUAUAACCACCCGAAAGUUCUUACCUUGUUAUUCUCUCCAUCAUCCUUGAGUCUAUAUGUAUGAAAUAAUUUUUUCUUGGUUAUGGUAGGUUGACUGGUCCUUUCUACUAACUUUUAAUUGAAUGUAGCACAUCAUGGAUUCUAUCUUGAGAAUCUAAGUUUUUUAAAUUCCUUCAAAGGAUUAGACUUUUUUUUGAGAACCGGUUGGUUUGGUGGCAAUUGAUCCCAGUCCCCACUGGGUUCUUUUCUGGCUUUGUCACCAAAUGGGUCAGCCUCAGAGGUCUGCUCCUUCUCCGCCCCAUUCAGCUACUUCAGCCAAUUCCAUCUGAUUUCUGUUUCUUUUACUAUCACUGGCCACUGCAGGCAGAAAGCAGGCAUGAAUGAAGACUUCCCAUGGUUCACUUGUUGUCCAGGGCCACAGUGCUCUAGUGUCUGUGAUCCAGUUCCUGAAAACAUUUCCUUUUUGUGUUUUGUGAAGAAUUGUUUACAGUGAGCGGGUAUAUGCAAUCACCCACAACUCCAUCACAACCAGAACCGCAGUCUCUCCUCCUUCAUUUUCAGUCAUUCUCUUUUCAAUAUAUUUAAGCACUUUGCAGUGUUCAAAUUCUUUUAUGGGAAGAAGUUCAAGGCAAAUAAUAAAUUAACCAGACUUUUAGUCAAGUAUGUUUUACUUAGUGAAAUCUCAGGUUUAAACAAACGUGAGUCUUUGUAUUUGUUUUAGAAGCUAAAAAAAGUUAGGUCCAGUCAUAUAGUUAAAACAGACAACUCUGAGGGAACCUCAUACCAUUCCAUGGAAUGACACAGUCAUGUUAAAGAAAUACUGCAGAAUUCUCACUUCAUAAAUGCAAACGUCUACAGGUUGGCUCUCUGUGUAACAGGAUUAUAUGGGAAAUAAUUCAGAGCACAUCCUACUUUCUUUGUCUUCUUCCUUCUGGGCUGCUGCUCCAAAAUCUUGUCUCCUCUCUUGACUGGCAUGUUAUUUGCUCUGCUCCCUCAUCCUUCCAUUGGUCUAGAAAAUUCUCUAAGACAGAAUAGAAAUUAUCUUCUGAGUCCCUUUCAAAUAACCCUACUAUCCUGUGGCUCUAAGAAAGGCUAAGGGGAAGUCUGAGCCUUGAAUUGACCCUCUCCAAGCUACAAGGACACUGGGAAUUAAGGGCACCUGCCCACUGCCCUCCUCUCUGCUCCUCUCCCUCAACAUCACACUUCCCAGCAUUUCCCUUGUCUGCACAUCUGUCCCUCAGGUUCUACAGCAUAUAUCUUAUUUCCAGGAAGGUGUUAAUGACCCAAAGAUUAGGAGACUCUAACGCUGCACAAGGGCAUGAUCACGUCUCCUCAUGAGAACUAUGGGAGUUUCUGAGCUAACACAGAGGAUAUUAGAAAGCACAGCACAUCUUUGUCAGAAAGAUAUCACCCCAAUUAAGUAAUAUUUCAAAUUUAUACCAGCUUAAAGCCAACAUUGUUUAAGGCUAGUAUGUGCUAUUUUACCACCUCAUUUUUCUGGGCAAAAUAAACAUUAGAUGGCUAUUCCACUUGUUUCUUCCAGUUCCUCUUAUCCUCCUACUUAUCCUAUCCUCUUAAUAUUCUAAAAAUGAAACUUCCCAUCAGAUUUCUAGUGUUUCCUAUGGAUAAUGAAGCCACAGUUUUGGUGCUGCAGAAGCCAGAUAAAACAUUCACUCAGGAUUCCAUUAAAGGUCAAAACACCCAGUUCUUAAUCUCAUGACACCUGCAAGAUAGUGAUGGAUUCUUUUUAUACUCAUUCCUCAGAAUAAGUCUUUAAGAUGAUCCACUUAUUCAUUCAGACACUUAAACUUCAUUAAAUGGAAUGCUGGAGAAACAAUUUUCCAUUGACAGAUUGUCUUAAUGGAAUGAGAAAGUAAGGGGUGUCUGGAUAUUUGGUUUUCUUCUCAAAUCCAGUGUAACCCAGGAGUGAGUGGAGAUCCAUAAUCUCCUCUGCCCUCGCUGUUUUUCUACCUUCAUCUUAUUUCAGUUUUCAGCAGUGUUCCAUGAGGCACUGUCUCCUGAUUUCCCAUCAUACUGCUCUGCUCACCCCCCUGAUUUCCUUAACUGGUUCUAUCUCCAUUGUUUGAUCCUUUGGAGCUCAAGCCUGAUUCUUUCCCUUUCAUGGAUGCAUUUUAAUCUUGGGUGACCUCCAUGUGUCCCAUGUUCCUGUGUACUCUCUCUAUGACAAUGACCUACCUUGUCACCCAUCCCUACCCUUGUCACCAUCAGUUCUCACACUCAGUUCUCAAAGUGCCCAUCUGACCACUCUCCUUGAUAUUCAAUGCAUCCUUACUGGGGCACAUGGCCAAAAGAGAACUUCUCACCCAUAGCCCACUGAAAUUGCCCUUCUGCCCUAAUUUCCCAUCUCCUGCUAGCCACCCACUUGCUUAAACAAAAAGCCCUGGAGUUCUAAUUCAUUCAUGCUGUCACAUCCCACCUAAUCCAUUCACCAAAUCCCACUGACCCUAGCUUCAAACCUCAGUCCUGUCAGUUCAUUCCAACCCAUGCCAUUGCCCCAAACCAGUGCAGCUGCCAUGUCUCAUGGGAUAGUGAAGCCACUCCCCAAGGCCCUGAUCUUCUCUGCCAUCCUGCAGUCCCAUCUCCACAAGGAAACCAGAGGGACCCAGAUUAGAGAUGCAGGUCACACCCCGCCCCCUUUUUAUUGGACUCUUUCUGUGCACUGCAGACUGGAGUUUCCCACUGAUAUCUGCCACAGGGAACAGCCUGCAUCCAGCCUGGGACCCCUCCAUCCCACCUAUCAUGCUUGGUAUCUUGGCCCAUUUCCUAUAUCCCACAUAUGCCUUCUUCUUAGGCAUGGCGUCCAGGCUUUCUGUUUCCUCUGCCUGGAGGCUCUGCAUGGAUCUCCCCAGUACAGUCUUCUUACUGUCCCCCACCUCCAUGACAGUGUCACCUGCCCAGAGAGGUUUUGCAGGCCCUACCUCCAGUCUCUGUUCAUGCCCUCAGUUUCACUAUCUCAUCUGUUUCAUCUCUAACCUUGCAUCACUAUUAAGACAUUAAAUGAGGAAACACAUUGAGAUUAUCAUUCUGGUUCCUCCUUAGAGAAGAGCCUAGCUAUUGUUUGUUUUCUUACCUCUUAUCUGCUUAACACAUACUAACAUAUAAAAUAUUAAGAAUUAAAAUGUUCAAUUGGAAAAGUAGGGUUUUUUUUUUCCCAAUGGAUACCAAGUAGCUGGUUGACCAAUAAUAAAACACCUGAAAUAAGAAUCACAGGACCUGAAGUUUAUGUGCCAAAAGUUUAGCAUUAUCAAGGGUGACCCUGAGCUCUACCCAUGUAUCUAUAGAUACUCAUAAUAUCUACCUUCUCCUCUCUGUAGGAUGAGAGAGGAUACUGGAUGAAAUGAGACUAGCAAAUACAAAGACUCUUAAAGUACCACCUAAUGUUUAUUCUUGUUUAUUUUAUAUUGAAAUAGCCACUUGAAAAAUUUUCUUUGGCAAGGUAUACAGGCAGUUGAAACCUCUGUAAUCAAGGUUGAAGUCAGGAGUGCCUAUCUCUCACGGCUCUGGCCUAAUUGUGCACACCCAUAGGACCUACCAGGCACCCCGGGGCUGCCUGAGGUCAGCAAAGCAGGGGGAUUUGCAACCUCUAGGCCUGUAUUCAUCAAGGCGCCACCAAUAUGUGGCUCUUCCAGCCGUAGAUGACCUGAUAUACAUUGUCCCUUCAGAGAUGCUCUCUCAGCAUAGAUCAUGUGGAUCUGUCCGAUUUAUCGCAGGGCCCUUGGAGCACAAUUUGGUCCUUAGCAGAUAACAGCUGCUCAGUGGUUCUAAGUUCCUAAGGGAGAUGAAAAAUGGCUGCCAGUGUCACAACUGGGGGAAGGGUCUGGAAGGAUUUUGCUCAGUCGGUGGAAUGUCAUCCACUCUGCAAAGGAUUUCAAGUCACUGCUUUGUGUUUCUGCUGUGUGGAAUCCAAGUCUUCGUAGAGUCCAGGAAGAAGCCACUGUCCCUAUUUCUGUGCAGCCCAGUGUGAUGGGGCUUUGUGUGCAUGUGGUUGCUAUGACAUCACAGAGGUGAACCCUCCAGGCAGUUCCCUUGCUGACACCACCCAGUGGGGGAUUCGAUAUUAAAAGGAGCAUUUGCUGCUCUUCUGACCCAGAAGAAAUCAAGGUGAACUGAAACUCAUUAAGAGCAGGGCUGGGAGAUAUCUGGAUGGGCACAGUGUGAAGUCCGGGACUCUUGCAGCUCAGCUUCUCUUGCUGAAGAGACCCAGCACCCCCACCCCCUGAGCCUCUGUUCUCACUUAAGCGGGGCCCUUCCAGCACAAGAAAGGGUUUAUGGUGGCAUUUUUAUCAUUGUGACAGAACUUCUCAAAUUUCACCUUCCCUCUUAUCUUCAAAGCACCAAGUACAGCCUUUAAAGCAACUUUGAAGAAGAAAUAUGGGAAAAUGCAAAAGAAAUCCAAUACAUAGGGAAAACAAUUUAAAAAGACUCCAUGCACAGAUGAACAAUACAGGUGACAUCAUAUAUGUUAACUCUGAUGCAUCCGUUAAAUAUUAACAAUUUGUAAAAAAAAAAAAAAAAAAAUGAAGACCAUCACCAACUUUUAAGAAGCCUCCUGUAUUCUGCCUACAAACCUUAGAUGACCAGCCAUUCCUAGCAUGGUCCAUCUUAUUAAGACUUUGUUAUCUUCUUAAAAUUUAAGUUUGUGAAUAAUGUAAUGUUCAAAAAGGAAAACAAAUAUCCUGUCCAAAGCCAGGCAUUCUUCAUUCCCUCCAGCCUCUAUCAAAUAUCUCUGGCCCCAUUUCCUCCUUUCCUUUGGACUUAAUUUUCGCUCACAGUUGAUGCACACCAUGUAACUGCCUUCGAUGGCUGAUCAUUCUGUCUCGAGAGAUGUUUUAUUACCAGGCCAGGAGCCCAUACUAAGUGGUUGUGCUGUUGUUCAAAUUCUCUCUCCAGUGAACAUAGUCAUUAAAGAAUUGUAUCAAGGGGAAAAACUUUUAUAAUGUGACUCUCUCCAAAUUCUGAGGAUGCUGGUGUUAUUGAUUUAGUAAUAGCUUGCAAAUAAUGAUGUGAAAUUAGUUCUUCUGCACUGCUGUUUUUCCCCCUUCAUAAAACUCUUGAAGAUAUUGGCAUAAAACCUUUAUUGAGGAACCAGGGCCAAGGACAAUAAUAGCUGACACUCCGUUAGGGUCAGUCUUCCUAGAGGUGAUAUGGAAGUAGGUUGUGCCAUGCUGAGUGGGAGGGAGGUGGGGAAGGUUUGCAUUUGGAAGGGAAGGAGAGAGGACUAAAGAGAAAGGAGGGGGAGAAGCCAGAGAACGGGGAGAGGGAACACCAUGAAAAAGCAAAAGGCGCAGCAAAUCCAAGUGAUAAAGAAAAAAGAGUUUAUCACUUAAAAGAUGUACAAGGGGUGAGCAACAACUCUGGUGAACAUUUAAAUUUUUAAAAUUUAGUAUAGUAAAAGAUAUAUUGCCCUUAAUCCCCCUGAAAAUACCCCCCUUUGGUUUGAACACACUUAUCCCAUGAUUCUUGCCACUUUCUGAAGCAGUCCUGGAAGUCUUUCUUCAUGAGGGUAUUUACUAGUUGUGAUCAAAACUGCAGUGAAUGCUGCUGCCAAGUGCCAUCCAACAGAAAGGCAGGCUCAUAAAAACAUGACGCUAUGUCCUCAUCCAUCUUUCUCACCAGAUCCAGCACCAUGAGACUUCGGACUCUUGCCUAAAAACAAAAUGACGAAGAAAGGUAAAAGUUUUGAAUUGAUUCAGGACAUGGAGGGAGCCAGGACAGCACAAAUAAAACACUUACAAAAGAGAACUUCCAGAACUGCUUCAGAAGGUGGCAGAGAUGAUGAGAUAAGUGUGUUCCAGCCAAGGAGGGGGUGGAUUUUGAGAGAAACUAAGGUCAAUGUGUCUUUUACUGUGAUACAUUUUUAAAAAUGUAAACCGACAAUAUACUUUUCAGUCACACCUUGUAUAUUCCACUUCCUGCCAUGAACUCUCCUCCCAACAUUUUAAAACAAGUCCUUUAGAGUAACAGUUUCUUUGUGUGCAUGUUGCCGUGUAUGUGUGUGCGUGAGUGUGUGUAGCAUAGGUGGAAGGAGAAGCCAGGCCUCAUUUCUGACUCACCAUAAGUGUGCCUCUCUUUGAGUCCAAUGGGGAAGAGUCAGGAGUAGUAGGAGGAGAUCAUCAGCAGUGGUAGCCAGAGGAGCACGUGGUUCUUGCAACUCAGGAAAAUCUUUUUUAUUAAUUGGUUCAUUAAUCAACUAAUUUUUCAGUACUGGGGCUUGAACCCAGGGUCUUCACACUGAGCUACAUCCCCAGACCUUUUUCUUUUCGUUUUUCUGGGGGGUACUGGGGAUCGAACUUGGGACCUAAUGGUUAUGAGGCAGGUGGUAGAACCACUGAGCGAAAUCCCCGGCCCUUGAUUUUUCAUUUUGAGACAAGGUCUUGCUAAUUUAUUAAGUUUCCCAGACUGGGCUUCAGCUUGCAAUCCUGCCUCAGUCUCACAGGGUGCUGGGAUUACAGGCAUGCACCACCCCUCCCAGGUGAACUCAGGGAAAUUUUAGUGUGGGUUUUGGACUUCUUUCUAGAGACAGAGGUUGGGACUGGUCUUAAUUAGACUCCAAAGAGCAGAGAGAAACCUCUUGCCACUUUGGUCUGUACAUGGAUCAUGGUGUGGAUACUUUCUCCUUCUCCACAUCCAACCCAGGAGUCAGUGCAGGACCAAAGGGGAGGAGCCUGAUAAAGCUCAGAGCACAAGAUGCUUGUCCUGAUUGCAAGAUAAGAUUCCCUCUGGCUCUUCCUUGCCAUGUGCUGCUCCCCAUGUUCUGUUUAAUGAUCCCGAGUUUGGACAUCAAGAGUCCAGGAUGCCUGUCUUUGUCGCUGCCCUUCCUAGGAGGUGGCAAAGGCUCAGACCUCUCCUUCCCAUCUUUUGUACCUUCAUCCAGUGUGCAGAAGGAGGUAUGCUUCACCCUGGAAUUUGCUAGUUGUGUAGAAUCUGACACAACACAGGUAAUACCUUCCAUAGCAGGUGCCAGGGAUGUUUCUGCAUACACAUGCAUGUACACACACACACAUAAACACACACACUUCUUCAGUCCACAUUCCCCAAAUAAUAAGGGGCACAUUUUCCCAGCCAUCUGUAUCACAAAACCUUUCAGUGCUUUGCUAUUUGGUUCAAUGAAAUUAGUGCAUUUAAAGCAUUUCUUUUGCAUAUUUUAAAUGCCAGAUUAUAGUAUUACAAAGACCUGGACUCCAAAAUAUUAUAGGUUUUUAAAAAAUCACACAAAAUAUGGAGAGAAUAAUUAUGAGAGAUUUGCCAGUCUCCAUUAUAAAUAAAUCUAGACAGUAACUUCAAGAGAGGGCAGUCAAAACAUCUUACCUGGAGUGAUUUUAGGUUGAGCUCUACUUUUGAAUGCUAACCUAUGGCCUCUGGUGUUCUUAUCAUUCUGGGAGCUACUGGUACUUACAUUCACUCAGUCUGCCAAGAGAAGAAGUUAUACUUCCAGUUGUAUAAUUUUCUUCUCAGCUGUAACAUAUCUCUUCUUUAAAAAAGUGGGUUAGAAGGAUUUAUGGGAGCAAAUCUGAUAUUUAUCACUUGAAUUAAAAGACUAAACCUGCAAAUAGUCUAGCUAUCAAUCCACAAAUAGUGUCUGUUGUUACCAGCUGAAUUCAGAGAGCUUGGUGAGUAGAUAUCUUUCUAUGUGAGUGUUAUAAGCAUCAAAACCACUUUUCUGUGUAUUAUUUUUCUUGUCAUCCACAAAUCAUAUUGCAAAAAGAUUGAUGGUAAUUGAAUAAAUUGCCAUGUGUACUUAAAGACUGAGCUGUUGGAGACACAACUGAUUUAUUGGAUGAUCAAUUUCAUUUUCUCUCCCAAGCCAAUGCUUUUGGAACACUUCCUUCCAAAUGUGGAAAAACCAAGCUCUUUGGGACUAGAAAAACUGGUUUCAGUCCCAAGAGAUGGCUUUGAAAGGUGGUGUUGGAUGGGAACAAGGGUGAACUGUAAAUCAGACUUGGCUGCACAGAUUCCAGUGAUGGUCUGCCUCAUCAAGAUGAUCUCUAAGAUCUGUUUCAGCUUGUAUAUUUUAUGAUUGCAUAAUGCAGUUCUUGUUUGAGGGUUCAUGACUGCCUCUUCCCCUAAGUAAUGUCACUGUCUUAUAAGUGGAGAUGGAUUUCUCUCCCUUGACUGUAGGAUCUUCCACAUCUUUCCAUUGUUAUCCUCUUAGUUUCCUUGCCAGGCAUCAAAUUCUUUGUACAGUGCUCCAGUUUGACAUUUUGUUAUAUCAGCAUCUUAAACUCUUUAGCGUUUAAACUGAUGUCCUCUGGGUCACAUAGUCCAACAAGAGCUCCUCCACAGAUCAAGCCACAUGGGAAGAUGUUGCAUCCUGUAAGAGCCACAGCUCUGUCACCCGUGGGCUUUCCAGUCCUCAGGAGUUGUGAUGGUUUGGGAGAUGUGUGUAUGUGUGUGUGUGUGUGUGUGUGUGUCGCGCACGUGUGUUUAAACAGUUUUUCUCCUAGAAUUCCUUUAAAUAUGACUACCAGGAGCAUUAAGGACUGACGUGUCAGGACUUUACAUUUUGUGCCCAUCAAGUUGCCUGAUUAUUGUCUUCCUUUAGAAUUGCUUAGGCGGGAUGUGAACAAAUGAGAAUAUUGAGGCAUGGAAUGCAGUAAUUGUUGAGGGACGCUCUUAACAGAAAAAGGCCAGUUUGUAUUUCAGACUGGGGUGAGAAAGGAUAAGGAGACAUGUAGGAAGGCAUCCAGAAGAAUUGGGAGGGAGCUAGAGAAAACACUACCUUUUGGUACCACUGGGCCAUUGAUUGGGUUUCCAUGGCUCAGCCAGGAUCCCCUUUUCAUCCCACUGCCAUCUGCUUAUCUUGACGUCUGACAUGAUUAAUGACCCUAAGUCCAACACAGUUAUGAACAUAGUUGCCCUUUCUUCAAAUAUUGGGCUCAAGCCCCUCAGCACUCUAAGUGUUUCAAUUCUCUUGCUCAUUUGUUUUUUUCCAUAAUGCAGGCUCUGACACAUUAGAAAGUCAUGAAAUUAAUUUAGUGGGUCACAGUCAGCUUAAGAAAAUAAAAUGCAUUGCUAACCAGUCAAAAGUCACUGGUAGAAUGAACUGUUGUGGUUUGGAGUUUUGUCUAUUACACAUGUAUAUGUAGUACGUUUACUGAGCUGAUAUGUGAAAUACAUUUCUUGCAGUAGAUCACAAGAGUUUGAAGUCUUUGAUCUCUUUUUUGACUGUGGAAAGGAAGUGUAUGCUCUACAGGGAAGGGAUCAUUGAAUAGCCCUGGCUUGCUCGGAGCCUGCUCAGAGCUGGCCACAGUAGUGCAGGCCUUUAAUCCCAGCACUCAGGGCCACUGAGGAAGAAAGAUCACAAACUCAAGCCCAGUGUGGGCAACUUGGUGACUUGGUAAGACUGGGUAAAAAAAAAAAUUUAAAGAUGGAACUCAGUGUGAAGGCUUUGAAUUCAAUCCCUGGGGGGGAAAAAAUCCCUGCUUAUUCCAGGAAAGGCCUCUCUUUGGGACUGGGAAAUUAGCUGCCAGUGGUUGCAAUCUUUUGGCCAAUGAGAACUCUUUUUGUAUUCCUGAGGCCUUGGGCCGCGUGGAACCAGUUUGAUCAGAUGGUUUACCCUAACAGUGUGGCUUAUGGUGAAUGCCUGCAUUGCUCUAGGGCAGUGAUGCCAGAUGAGUGCCCAAACUACAACCCAAACCCAUUUAUUUAUGGCAAAGUGACAACACUGCAAUUAAACCUGAAUACUGAGAUUUUACUUUAGAAGAAAAAACUCAUACAUUAACAUCUUUUGUCUUAAAAGAAAAACAAAUAGCACUUGUGCCAUAGGUUCGCCACCAUUGCUCUAACGUAAUAGUUGUAUCUGAGGUCAGUUAGGCAGGUGCUACGUUCUUAUUUGACCAACCCCAAAAGCCCUGGGAACCCAGGCCUGGGUGAGCUUCUGAGUGAUUGGUAACAUGGUUUCUAGGAAGAUUCACUGUGCCCAGAAGAUCCCUCUAGCAAAGGAUGCCUGGGAGCUUACGCUGGCUCAUCUGAACUUUCUCUUGUUCUUCUUCUCUCCCAUGUCCUGUGUAGUGUGCACCAUAACUGUAAGGAUAAACUGGAAAGGAGGGUUUUUUCAAGUCCUAGGAAUCCUAGUGACACUGAGGCUUAGGGUUGGUCUGCAGGACCCCAACACGGGCAGAGGCUGAAUCUGAGACCCAGAGAGGUAAAGGGCUUAUGGCACAUAGAAGCCAGGGAGAGUCUGGUGUCUAACUAGAACAUAGGAAACUGGGCUGGCACAGAGUCUACACUAUAGAGGUCCUUUUCUGGUGAGGUGAUCAAAAGGAACCUUCAUUUCUCCAUUUGAGACAACAGUGAUCUGUGGACUAUUGUCCAGGUGUCACUGGUGGAUUUAACUGGGUAAAGCAGAAGGAACUAAAUAUUUUGUUUCUUUCUCAGUCCCCAACAAGGGAAUGAAAAUCAUGAACCUGGUAUAAAAUAGUAAAGCUGCAUUAGUACUUUCUUCAUCACUACAAUGAGAUCUCUGAUUCUGGGUUCUCUGCAAAGAAAAGAAGAUUUUUCAGCUCACACUCUGGAGGUUCAGGGGGCUGGUGCUGGCCUGGGGUGGGUUCUGGGGAGACCGGGUGGAGGAUGGUACUGCAGUGGUAGGAGUGUGAGUAGGUGGAGGGAUCAAGUGGUGACACAGGAACCCAAGGGUCAAGGUCAGACUUGAUUUCUUGUAAGUUAGUUCUUAUGAGAACUAACUGGGGUACAAAGAGCACCACCUCACUUCCUUCCAAGGUCAUUCAGUACCCACGAGGUCAUUCACUAAGCCCCUCCUUCUAAAGGCAUCACUACCUUUCAUGUGGACACUCUUAGGUACUCAGCCCUUGGGACACGGUCAAACUAUAUCCAAACUGUACCAAAAGCUCAUUAUGAUCUCAUCUCCAAAGCAGCUCCUAGUCUUUCUGCUAUCUUUCAUCUGGGCCUGUUUUUCUGUCUACCAGUUAAUGAAUUCAGUGCUAUUUCAUUUUUUAAAAUCACUUUUAAUUAUGAUAUAUUAUAAACAAAUGAAACUUCUCUCUGGGGUCCACCUGAAUGGAAAUCAAUAUAAAAAAUCAGAAUCCAAGGCAUACACAGAAAGUUUAGCAAAAAGCGUCUCCUGUGUUUCCUUGUGUGGUUUAGGAAAAGAACACCCAACGAUUCAUCAUAAAAGCUUUGAAAUUUGAUGAUAUGAAGGAGCUCUAAAGGAAAUUAAACAUAGCACGAUCACUUUUUCAAAAAUACAAAUCCCACACAGCAUCUUAGUAAAUAACUCUUCCUGCACUGCUAGCUCAUACUUCUAACCUCAGGAGGUACAAAGAAUUUUUGAGAAUUCUUACGAACUAACAGUGAUGUCUGAAUUCUUAUGACACUUGUAUUAUUUACAAACAUUUUUGCAAAUUGUUAACUUACUUGCUUUUCCAGGUCUUCCUUAUUAGAGUAGUCAUUUUCAGACAGCAUGUGAUUUGCAAACAACUGGACCUUCCUGUCCUCUGCCAAGCAGGGAUUGAGGGUGGGGAGGAGGAGAGACUAUGAAUGGUCAGCAGAGCACCCCGCCUCCUUUGUCACUCCCAGUAGCUGUGAGCUUCUGUAAUGAGAAUGUGGUGACCCUGGGUGUGCAGAGCCCCAAGUGGAUACCAGGGACUUUACAUCUGCGGUCUCUUCCACUGCAUAGACUCUCUUGCUCUUGACAGACUUCGCCUUUUAUCCCGUCCAUGGUACUUUUUGCCCUUUUCUAUGCCAACUGGAAUUUUUUUCACCUGCCUCUUUGCCAAAUAACUUAGACGUUGAUGAAUAAUUUUGGCUCUUGCCAUAGCAUCAUCAGAAAAGAUAAUGCCUUUCUCUGUACAAUUACGUACUCUUCUCUUUCUUGGUCAUACAUCUUGUCAGUGUGGUUUACCUGCCUCCUUCCUUGAAAUCUGCAUUCAAUACAUUGUACUUUGGAAUCUAAAUAAACAUCUCUCAAGCCCACAACUGUGUAGACUUUAAAUAUUUGGUCUCACAGUUUGAUUUUUAUUUAUCUUGAUCCUUCUCCUUUUCCUGAAACCUGAUUAAAUUUCUUUUCAUGACACUAUCUUCUUAUUGGAAAAGCUCUAUCUCUUUAAGGAAUUUUUUUCACUAUUUAUUGAGAGCAAAAAAGAUUUCAUACGUGCAAUCUUUCACUCUUGCAAAUGUAUACCUUUCAAUCUGAGGACAAAUAACAUCUCUAUAUAUUUCAUUCAUUAAGCACAGAUCCCAUGCAGGUUGGCAGCAUUUUCCUGUCUGAAGUGUCAAGGAUCUCAGACUCAUGACCUUUACACCAGCAUGAUUCUUUUCUGUUCAGCCUGGUCAUUCUUUGGAAGCUAAAUGGGUCUUGUUUCCAGCUGACUCUUUGCCUGCUCUGCCCCACCUUCCAUGCUGUCCACACUGCAUUGCCAGUGUGAGGUGUGCACUUCCCUCCUUGCUGGAUGGAAUCCUGCAUUUGGGACUUUUGUCCUCUCUCCCUUCUCCUGGCCAGGUCCUCCUGCUGUGGCCCUUCUUCCUGGGACCCAGCUUCCUUUACUUGAGACUCUUCUCUGGCUCCCUGGUCCAAACAGGCUGCUGUCACAAAAAAGCCAUCAAGCAGGUGGCGUGGAGCCAGCAGAAGGCUGGACAUCUAAGAACAGAGUGCUGCAGAUUUGGUGCCUGAUGCGGUCCUAUGCCUGACUCAUAGGUAGUAUCGCCUCACUGUGUCCUCACAUGGCAGAGGGGACACAGCACCACUCUGGGGUCCCUCUUACAAGGGCUGAUACCACUCAUGAGGGCUCCAGUCUCAAGCUGGUCACCUCCCAAAUGUCUCACCUCUCACACUGUUGCAGAAAUCUCGGAAAGAAAAACACAGAGACACAGAAUUCAGAUAAAAUAAUAAAAUUUCUUCUUGCGAGUGGACGAGAAUGCUAGAAACCAGUCUGGUCAAUAUCAAAUUGCCCCCUUUGUUCAGCAUUUCCCUUUUUAUAUCCUUUUUAGCCAUUAUCUUAUCCCUAGUGGUCUUUGAUGUGUAAAUACAAUUCCAGUUCCUAUUUACAAGUCACAGACACAAGAUAGGCCAUAUACAUUGUAAAUUCACCCUGGCAUGGUAACUUUGUUAGGUUAAUGAAGUUACUGGUUAGAGUCAGAUAAUCCUCACCUUAAACAAGGAGUUACAGGAAAAGCAAAUCUUAAAAGAACACAUUACUUAUUUUGCUUCUACAACUACCUUAAUAUUCAAUCUAUUAAGUUAUCUAAAACUUUUCCGUAUCAACACCAUCAGAUCUGGGGGUACAGAUCUGAUCUAUGCAUCUGGGAGAACAGGCAUUCUGUCUGUUUCCUCUGCCAUGACGCUCCGGCCAACAGAAGCUCUGGACUCCAUUUUCUAUCCGGUUGUCUCUCCCUGCUGGCUCGUGCUCACCUUGGCAGUGGCUUUCCCUUACUUCCUAUGACCCGAAUGACAAAUUCCCCCCAUUUCCUCCUCUCCUCUCUAUACCUCCCUUGGCUUCCACCUCUUCCCAGCUCCAGAAGUUUGUCACCAGAAGUGCUGACACAACCUGAAUUCGCAAGGCCCUGAGAGUGAGGGUGGUUCCUGCCUGCCUCGCCGUGGGCCACAGUCUCCGUCCUCUGUCUGCUGUAAUAAUAAGAAAUGAGACAGAACCAUGCAGUCCACAGCCUCCAUCAUGAGAUGCUCCCUGUCCACAUCCAUGUGCCAUAGUGGUUGCCUAGGUGGGUGCCUACAUCCUAUCCAUGUGCCAUGGUGGGUGCCCAGGUAAACUGGGCCAACUGGCAUAUCUGUGGGCUGGCUCCACAAUGACAUACAUAUAGGAUUCUUUAAUGUUACAUGAGAAGCUCCCAAUAUGUUAUCAUUAGCCUCAGCUUCUCUGAGAGAACUUAAUUUUACUCCCUGCUCCCCAAAAUAAACCCUAGUGUGUUUGCCUUAUUAUCGAAACUCUGAAUGCACCCUUUUUGUUGUCUUCAGUACUUUGGUAUUGCUGUACAUGAGGACCCUUUUAAAGAGAAGAUUCUGUGAUGAAGACUGUGUUAAUUCCACUGAAAUGGAAACAGGGAAAAAAUAUGUGAGAGUACACAGGUGUAUACCCACAGAUUCUAAACUCAGGAGAUUUGGGGCUUUGAUAUGCAUCUCAUGGAGAGCAAAAAGAAUUUGGAGAGAGAUCAUUACUUAAAAAGGAUGGUGGACGCUCCAGUUAUGCUGGAUGAUGGAGGGAGUUUUGCUUUGAAAACCUCCCAAAUGUUUCACCUGUGUUUUCUAUUUCCAGCUUGAAUGAGAGAUGGGAUCAUUUUUAUCUGACUUCAUGUCAGUUUUUUUCCUUGGAAGAGCACAAUAGUGGAUUAGAAAUUGCCUAUGUCAAAAACUAGGGAUUGUGGCCCUUGCUUCUUUCUCUGCCAGGGCCCAUAUUUUUUUUAAAAAUGCUGCCCAUAUCUUCCCAACAAAACAACAAAAUAGUAGAUAUCAAGCAUUACUUUUCCUUUCUCCAGUCCUGCUCAAUAGGCAUAGUCAGCAACACUGGAGAAGAAAUGAGAACAUCCAGCUAUGAGUGAGGGAAACCAGGUCUUUGGUCAAAGUCAUGAUGCUGAUGUUCUGAGAUCUUCCAGAAACAGCUGUGGAGGAUGUCAGCACCUGAGGAUAAGAGCUGUGAUCAGAAAAUAUGCUGAAUGUUUAGAUUUUUAAAAAUUAUUACAGUAAAAGACACAUUGCAAUGAAUCCUCUCCCUCCAUUCCAACACAUUUAUCCCAUCGUUCUUGCCACUUUCUGAAGCAGCUCUAGAAGUCCUCCCUCCUGCGUGCCUUUAGUUAAACUGUUUUGGGCUGCCUCAGUGUUCUGAAUGGAUCCAAAAUAUUUACCUUUCAUGGUCAUUUUCUCUUUGGGGAAGUACCAGAAGUCACACAGUGCCAGAUCUGCUGAAUAAGGUGGAUGAGAACACAGUGUCAUGUUUUUAUGAGCCUCCCUUUCUGUUGGAUGGCAUUCAGCAGCAACCUACACUGUAUUUUUUAUCACACCACAUACAGAUACUUAGGAAAGAGGACUUCCAGAACUGCUUCAGAAGGAGGCAAGAAAAAUGGAAUAAGUGUGUUCAAAGCAAAGGAGAGUAUUUUGAGGGAAAUCGGUGACAAUGUGUCUUUUACUGUAAUAUUUUUUUUAAACUUAAGCAUUUAGCCAGUAGUUUGAUCAUCAUUAUGCACCUGGGCAUGUUGGGGAGGUACCCGCACUUUAGGAGAUGCUCCCCACUUCUCGAAGUUUACAUAAAACAUCACUUCUGGGGCUACACUGGCCAGAUGAGAGAAUUUGGCUUGCACUCCACAUUACAGACCUGACCUCCACUCAGGCAGUUAUCUGGGCUCCUUUGUCAGCUUUCCCCUGGGUGUGGCCCUCUGUAGCUGCAUGUCUGUGAUGUGCUCUAUCUGCUUUUGGACACCCAGAAUUCCCACCCCAGGCUCUUGCAGCUCCAUGGACAAUGCCCUCUCUAGAACUUCCUGGUGACCACACUUUUCCCAGAAACGGUUGUCCCUGUUGUCAACUUGCCAGCCCCGAAGUGUUUGGAGUACCCACAUGUCCCACACGGUUAGUACAUAUACUGGGUAACUCAUAUCCCUCCUGGCCUCUAGGGUGUCCUGAUGUCAUCUGGUAAUGUCCCUGUGGUCACUGCUGGGGCUCUGCCUCCAUGGACUUGCAUGGCAUGUAGCAUCCUGCCCAUUCUGCCCCUGAGGUGGAUACAAUCCUCCUUCACACCCCAACCCACCAUGGACACAAGGACAAUACAUGUGUGUUUAAUGGGUUUCGCUUACUGAAAGUUUAGCUAAGUGGAUUUUUAGCAGGAAAAUCCUGAACUUGAAAGCCCAGCUUCUUGUUGCUGAUGCUCCUGAAUCCUAAGGUCCAUGGAGGCCCUGCCUUCACCCCAGGCCCUGGCUCUUCUUAUCUCAGGCAGCAGGAGAGAUUUCUUAACAAGAUCCAUGGCCUUGCGUGAAAAGGAGAAAAGACACAAUUCUCUUCAUGAGCAUCUAAUCAAAACAUAGCUGUCCUUCGGCAGGUCUGCAGGCAAAGCUAUAGUAGUUUUGCCGAAACCUGUGACCAGCAGAAGUCACAAGUAUUUUCACAGCACAGGGACAGCUGCAGAUGUCUGGAAAUGCAUUCUGUGUACCUGCUCUUUUCCUUAUAAAGUAAGAUACACAAGUGUACCUUGCUUCCUAUCUUGUCUUUGCAAAGGACUUCCAUUCUUAUAGCUGUCAGAAGGUAAAAGACAGAAUUGAAUCUCCACUUGGGAAGUAUAUGUCCUCAUCUAAGACAACCCUGCCAUUAGAUAUUGUUAACUGAUCUCAGCAAAAUGGUCAUGACACUGAUACAUACUUAAAAUGAAAACUCACUUUAACUUGCCUACGUUUUAUGUAUUGUAUUGUGAAUCAUUAAGCAAUAUAAAUAUAUUUUAUUUAUAUAUUUAAAGAUAUGGAACUAUGUUUCAAGGUAAUACAUUUUCUUUGUAACCUGAUGUAUCUUAGCUUAUAUAUUUAAAGUACAAGUUUCUGAAGGUAGAGAUACUGUCUUCACCAUAUUGACCCAGGGGUUCAUUUUUUUUCUUUCAUUUUUCUCUAUAGAGAAAAAGUUUGGAUUUACUUUAUCUUUCUUAAAUUUUAGGACCUCAACACCCUUCUGUGCCCUGUCCCCAACCCCUGACUUUGUUCUGUUCCUCGGAACCCCUGACUUUGUUCUGUUCCUCGGGACUCUGGAGUUGCUUUUCUGCCUCAUGCGAUCCUGUGUCUUGUGGCUUUUCUAAGCUAGGAAACAUGCUGCUGAUCACAGCUGGCUUCUGUGAAGACAUCUCCCUGUGUUAUUUCAUAACAUCAAUAAAUCAGUCACCAAGACCCACAAGGGACAGAGGUAGAGCCUGUGUGCAGACGUGCUGCCUGUAGGGCUCUAGGCUGUGCCGUUAACUACUGCAUCACCUACUACAGCUAUAUUAUAUUUUUGUACAUAAAUGCAGCUAUAAUUGUCAACCUUCUUUUUGUUCCCAAGAUUCUGCAGUUACAAAAAAUGCUUUCUCCCUCUCCCCUGACUCUCUCUCUGCACCUCCCCACUUUGCCCUGGGAUUCAACUUUGGAGAAAAACUCUUGCAUUCUGAAACUAUGUCCUUGUCUCUCUAUGAAGAAGGUCAAACUGAAUCAUCUCCAAGGCCUCCUAUAGCUACCAUCAAUAUUCUUAUUUAAAGCCAUUGCAGGAUAGGAUGUCUGUUCUAUGAUGUCCUCAUAACCUGGCUGAAGAACAAUCAUUCUUCACAUUGCCCACAGUGUCUCAGAAUUUUCUGCAAGGCUUCUAAAUCUUUCCCAUGAAGAGAGUCACCCUCACCCACAGCUUCUCCUCCCUUGUAUCUUGGGUGCAGUUGGAUUUGUAAAGGUAAUGAUUGAAUACCCUGAGCCAACAGCUGCCCAUAUUGUUUGGUUGAUUAUUUUUCUAGAAAAAUAAAGAAUUCAUUCAUAAUCACUAUUCUUUUCUGAAAGCUCCAACAGGACUUUAAUAUGUAUCUGAAAUAGUAGCACAAAAUAUCUCAUCUUCGUCUGUGCCCAUUCCAGUACAGACGGAGCAAGUGAUAUGGUUGUUAUGGACAGCCAACCAGUUCUGUAGGUCCUUCUAGGAUCCACACCUUCCAGGUGCCUUUGGCAAUUUGAACAUAAUUGAUGUAUUAGAGUUCAUGUCUAAGCGUCAUACAACACGUUGUAGAGUCACAAGCAGGAUAUUUCUGCCAUGGUGGCACCAGUGGAAAGUUCAUUGAGAUGAUUGCUGUGAGUAAGGUGAAUUGUGCAGUCCUAGUAAUGGUGUUUGUAGCUGUAUCAGAUGAUGGCCAGUAACCCAGACUUUUAUACUGUAAUUGUUGCCAAGCUGAACUAGCUUUUCCUCAGAAUUGCAUAUCCUUAUUAUUUUUAUUUAUAGACAAAGAUGUUCCUAGCCUUUGAUUCUAAGGAAGGUGUUCUGUUGCUAAUAGUAUGUUUUGUAAACCUUAGAGCAUAAAAAUCCCAAGUAUUCAGUUGUUCCACUCAUGAAUUUAUGUCUGAGGGUACCUAAAUUCAAGAAGGAAAGACUUUUUUAAGGUCACCCAGGUAGAGGACAUGGGUCUUACGGCCUCACUAGCCUUUGUCCCACUCUCUGCACACCACAGCUAG
rnacentral:lncRNA from 1 species